GCCGAACCAUAUUAAUUUAAAUUAGUUUUCAAUUGAGAUUUGAAUUUUAAAAUUACACACACAAACACACCCGAUUUAAAAAUAAUAAUAAUAAUGCUAACAAUAAAAUAUUUCAGCCGUCCUAUGUGUUAAUCGCCAAAAACGGAUUUCCAAUCUAUUACAACAUGAGGUAUAUGAGUUAACAAGUCCCAAUAUUGUCCUCCAUCCUUUCUGCACUUCUCUGCUAUCAACGGACAUCCUGCGAUCUGUAAUUGCAAAAGUGAGGAAGGCAGGCCCUUCUCCGGAAAGUAUUUGAGCUUGGGACAAUUAUGGAGUCGCAAUGCAGUGAGGUUUUGAAGAUCAACAAUUGAAGAAGAUAGGCGUUCCAGAUUUGGAAAAUUGAAAAUCUCCAGAGACGUUAGAGAGGCAGGAAUAGGAAGCGCGGUCCCUAAUCUUUUGUCCUCUAGUGGAAAUGACACCAUGUCCUCAUCACAUCCACUGAUUAAAAGAUAUCGCAGAGAGGAGAAUCUGUGAAAUCCCCGUCCCCGCUCAAUCAUUGACUUCCAAAUCUCCAUAUUACCCCAAAUAUUAAGUGACUGAAGGUUGGUGGGAAGGCCAUCUUCUUCUUCAAGGCUUGGAAGCACACCUCCUUUUCCUGCUGUUAAUUCUUGAAGAGAGCUCAGAUUGUGCAUUCCCUUGGGUAAGGCCUCUAGUCUCUUACAAUUAGAUAUCGCCAGCCUCCUGAGUUUCGCACAAGGCAAUCCCCCUUCGGGAAAGGACACCAGAUUUCCACAACUAUCUAUACUGAUUGUUUCAAGAGAUGUGUUGUUGUCCAACCUUUCUGCUAUUGACUCCAGCUUUGAACAUCCCCAAACAACGAGGGACUUAAGAGACGAAGGUAGAUUGCCAACUUCAAGGGACUCAAGCGUGGCAGGUAACUCGUUUUUUGAAAAUAUACAUGUCAGAGAUGGACAACUAAUAAUUUCUACGUGCUCGAGAAGAGAUGAGGUGUACCUUCUGCUGCUGCUGCUGCUACACAGGAUACCCUCUUCCACUGUCAAAGUCCUUAUAUUAUCGCAAUCGCUGAUGCUCAGCUGCUUGAGGCUCGGUGGCAGCUGGACAGCAGCAAUAUAUGUCAACGAACGGCAACCAUGAAUACUCAAGAUCUCGAGAGACGAAUUGGUGUCGCACAUCCAUGCCUCUGGUAACGAUUUCAGUGCAUCACAAUGCCUAAUCUGAAUUUUCUUCAACUUGGAAGGCAGAGCAACCUCAGGAAAGGAAACAAGGGAACUGCACUUGCAGAUUUCUAUCUCUCUCAAGGAACUGAGGCUGAACGAUGAUUGUGGCAGCUUCACAAGGCCUUCGCAAUUACUCAAUCUUAGAUAUUCAAGUCUGCAUGACAACUCGCAGAGCUGCUGUUGUUGGUCUUUCUUUUCCUCCGCCACCAAGGAUUGAAGUUUGGGACAGCUGUCAAUCGUCAGUCUUUUGAGAGAGUAAAUGUCUUGCAGUAAUUCGUUAUGACUCUUCCAUAUAUGUGUUUCAUUUUUAAUAUUUUUUAUCUCCAAUUCUUCCAGUUUUGGUAUUCGCGGCUUCAAUGGCCCUGCGAGAAACACUUGAUUUGAUGUAUCUCUACAAACCACUGAAUUCUGUGAGCCGAGAUGAUCAGUUGCACUACUCCACACAAUCUUUUUACAUCCACCAAUUUCAAAUUUGCAAAGAGCUGGAAGACUUGCAACUGAAACUAGCAAUUCUUCACAUCCUUCAAUUACAAGCAUCUCCAAUGCAGGAAGGUGUUCUGGAAAUGUUCCUUGCAGCUUAGAACAGCUUAUAAUAUGAAGCUCUCUCAAUUUAGGAAACCCUUCAACUCCCUGACCAGAUCUAAGAGGAAUCCAGUCUUCCCAUUCUUGCAUGUCUUGAAAACGAAGAGUCUCCAAGCAUGGAAAAGGAAUCGGGGAAUCAUUCCCAUAGAACUCUGAACCCAAACUCUUUACUCUACUCAUUCCACGCACUUCAAGAUGCUUUAAAGAGGGUAGUUGCCCGACUGACGGCAGGGCAGUACACAUGCCGCAAUCUUCAAAUUUAAGUGUUACUAAAUUUGAGAAUGAGGAAUCUCCUAACCAUGUUGGAAAUUUUGUACCUCCAUAACCACAGAUACCAAAUUGUUCCAGAUUUUUAUGGGGUUUGAGCAUGUCAAGCACACCCAUUUCAGUUUCUGCCUCCCUUGAAGAUGAACCAUCGGUACUGCGUGUCCAUCGAAGCAAUAAUUCUCUAAGAUUCUCCUUUACAUCCAAUUGAGCCUCCUUCGCAUUACCAACGUCUUUUACGUUCUCCAAUUUUGAAAUUUCAAGUGCCCCACGAAGAUGCAUCAACAACUUUAGCUCUGAUAACCCCGAACCACUGUCUUUUCCCACAACAAAAUUACACAACGUCUGAAGACUAGUCAAUCUACCAAUUCCUACUGGCAUUUCCUCCAACGACUUCGUAUUUGAAUUCUUAAGAUGAUGCAAUUUGGUGAGGUUUCCCAUGUCUGCACACAACUUCUUCAGCCGAUCACAAUCUUCCAAGAAAAGACUAUGCAAAUUGUAAAGCUUGUUGACUGAUUCAGGCAGAGUUCUAAUCAUAGUUCCAGAUAGGUUGAGGUACCUUAAAUACCUCAAAUCACCAAUUGAAUCCGUUAGCUCAUACAGGCAAUAUCCACGCAAAGAGAAGACCCUCAACCGUUGGAGUUUGAACAACUUGGGGAGAAUGCUACGAGCCAAGUAUCCAUGCCACCUAUUUGACAAUGCUACUGGUAAAAAAGUUCGCAAAUGGUGGAUAUCAUGCAAGUCCUCAAACCUUUGAACGCCAUCACAAUAUCCACGAAUGUAUGACAGGUGACGAAAAUUUUUGGAAAAACUUUGUUGCUUGUUAACCUCUGAGUUAUACUCCAUUGUGAAGUAUAUCUCCCCCGCAGCCCAUUGAGCAAGGUCGUUGACAAGGUCGUGCAUCACAAAUCGUGAUUUAUUGUUGCUUGAUUGCUGGAAAAAAGAUCUUGAACGUAGCUCUUGAAAGAACUUUCGACCUAGAUCUUCAUUAGGAUUCCCACUCUCUUUGUGAUCCAAGAAACCCGAGGCACACCAUAAUAAAAUCAUCUCCUCCUCUUCAAAUUCAUAAUCCUUUGGAAACAAUGAGCAGUAUGCAAAGCAUUGUUUCAAAGGUGCCGAAAGAUAAUAGUAGCUCACUGCAAGGGCUGGUAUAAUACCACAUCUCUCUUCUGGUAAUUCCCAUAUCUUGCUACUGAGCACAUCUUCCCACUCACUUCUGUCAUGAUUCCCACGUAAAAGUCCUCCAAGCGUUUGUGCUGCCAAGGGCAAGCCAUCGCAUUUGGUCACUAUCUUCUUGCCGAUUUCCUCCAGUGACUUAUGUGAACUGAAAUCUCUCGUCCCCAAUGAAUGUUGAACGAACACAGCUAGACAAUCAUUAUCUGACAACUUCUUUAAUUGAUAAGCCGGAACAGUACCCAUAAUUUUAGCAACCUCUUGAUUGCGAGUAGUGACAAUAAUUUUACUUCCCGGUGCGCCAAGUUCAAAGGGACGUCUGAGUUGAUCCCAAUCAUGGUAAUUCCGGUUCCACACGUCAUCUAAAAGAAGUAAAAACUUCUUUCCAGAUAGUUGCUUAUUCAGUUUCUCUUGAAGUGAAUUCAAGUUGAGAUUAUCUACGUUCUGGUCAGCAACAAUGGAUGUUAAGAUUGUUUUUGUUAGCCUGAUAACGUCGAAAUCAUCAGAGACACAAGUCCAUGCCUUGAGAUCAAAAUGAUCCACCACUUGCUUAUCAUUGUAGACAAGCUGAGCAAGAGUGGUUUUGCCCAGCCCACCCAUACCUACAAUAGGUAUAACGGAGAAUCCACCAUCGUUGCUUAAAUCAUCCCUCAACAGCAGUUCAACAACAUCCUUCUUUUCGAUUUCCCUGCCAUAUACUUUGGCUUCCUUCACCAAAGAGGUUGUCUCUCGCCUUUUCCUGUCUUUUGUGGUCCUCCCACCCGAACUUACAUUCAAACCCAGCGAGUCCUUCUGUGUUACAAUAUCUUGAAAUCUGCCAUUGAUCUCUUUGAUUUUGGACAUCAUGGCGUAAUCGAACUGAAUCGAUUGUGGAGUAAAAGUGGUGCAGCAAGUAGGAAUGAGCUUCCGAAACUUACUUGUUCUUGUACGACUGCAACUGGGUUGAUCAUGAGCCGCAGCUGGAUCUCCAUUUCCAAGCAGCAACUUCCUCCGGAAAGCCUCAGUUUGAAACUCAUCCAGCAAGUCUUCAACAUCAAAAGCCAAGUUCUGAAGCUCGCCAAGCCACAACUUUACAGACUGAUCAGUCUUCUUCUCCUCAGCAUCAGCAAGCACCGCCUUGAUUAUCAUCAACAUAUUCUUCCACUUCUUUAGGUCGGCUUGGAUUUGCUCUUGGCGUGCAAACAGCCGAAUCCCCUCCGAAGCUAACUUAUUGACCAGCAAAUCAACGGACGCCGUAAGAAUUGCCUCUCCGAUGAAUGACAUUUUUUUCUUCUUUUUCUUUUUUUUUGGUUUUGCAAAGAAAGAAAGGAGCAGAAUUAUGGGUUAUGGAAAGCAGAAUGAGAAAAUGGAUAAUUAAGCAGAAUGAGUUUGUGAUUGUGAAGGGUCUGGCCCAGCAAGCUUAGUAGAAAUCACGCGUUGAUACUUUAUUGACCAAUGACUAAUAAUUUGGCAAUUCACUCAUCACCACCACUUGGUAAGCAAAAUGAAAAUGCUUAGUAAUUAAGUGUCAAGGGUCAAGCAAAAUACGACGUAAAAUGUGUCAAGGGUCUCCCCACUUGUUGUUCCUUGCAGCUUAGAAAAGAAAAACAGAGCCCACGACCCAUUAAUAUUUAGCCGCCCACCAAUCAUCACCACUUGUUACGAAACCAUCUCAUAAACCAAGUUCGUAGGUCGAGCAGUUAAUCCAGUGUCUAUGUCCUAGAACCUUCAUCUCAUAAACCAAGUUCAAUCAAAACGUUCCUCUCUAUAUAUUUUUUUUUUCAAAACUCCUAAAACGUUUCUUUUUAGAGACAUUUUACUUUAUUCAUCUCAUAUGUUAUCUAACAAAUAGACACAAUUGAAAUCACUCUAAAGUGAAGAUGAAAGGGGAAACAAAUAACCUUCCGACCACCAGUAAUUUAGCAAGCUUCACUUUAUUCCACCAAAGUGUAAAUAAAGCCAGCCCCCACCACCAUCAAUAAUUUUGCAAGCUUCACACGCUUGUUGUCUUCUCCUUGACGAACUGGACAUGAGUGCACCAAGAAUCAAUGACAGAAUUUUAAAAAUAAUAAUAAGAGAAAAACCUACACAUUUUCGACUUAGAGUAGAACCUUAAUUAAUGCUAAAAUCUACUCAGCUAACAUUUUCAAAAUAUUGUUCUUUAUGAUUUUCAAAACUGUGAUUAAGGUUCAUCUCAAAUGUUUGAAGAGAGUCUAUCAGUUCUUCAAAUGUUGAAUAAUAAAAAAAAAAGUUGAAUAUGGAGGAAAAUAGAAUGCAUCCAUCUUCGCUGCUGUAGAAGUCUUCUACUUAUAAAAGUAAGUUAGAAUAAACAAUUUUAAUCUCUCUUUUUAUUCCUACAAGUGCACUACAUUUUUUUUUUAAUCUCAAUGCAAAGUCGUAUCGAAAUGUUAUAUUCCUAUUGUAAAACAAAAUUUUAGAUAAAACAAAUUCGACUCAUUUUUUAAAGAUAUAUAUUUAGUAGGUUACCAACAUAACUAACAAAACGUGAUUAUUACACUAAAUGAAAUAAAUGACAGUACUAUCACCAAUAAUUUAGCAAGUUUCGCAUGCAUGUGUUUCUAAACACAUUAUAUGGAAUCAAACAACAGUGAUACAAAGAGAAAAGUAGAAAUCCUCUGAUUAUAUUUUUUUUUUCUUUUUCAAAAGAAAUGGUGGGGUUGGUUUGUUUGCAAAGUUAUUAGCGAGGGUCUAUUUGUUUUUGUUUUAACUUUAUUAAUCAAUAAGCAAACAUGUAAUUAUUUGUAUAUAUCACUAGCAUCACAUUAUUGUGAGGUAUUGCGCUUAAUAUUCACAAUUUUUGUAAGAUGAAUUUGUAAGACUAAUUAAUUUUGAUGAAAAUGUAUCGUUACUAAGAUAUUAUUUAAUUCAUUAAGUUAACUUGAGGUAUUAAUAUUUACUAAUUGUGGUGCUGAUUAAUUUAUUUAACUUGUCACUAUUUGCAAUUAAGAAUGAAGUUCAAUCAAUUUAUUGAGUAAAAAAAAAACAAAGAUGCAUUUUUUUCUUUAGAUUUUAAUUCUUAGGAUUUGAUUUCACGCUCUUUUGUUUUUUUACGUUGCUAAAGAGGCAGUAAAAAGUUUGCUGAAUGUCAUCAAAUACUUGUAUCUCAUCUCACAAAUUGGUAAUAUUUGUUUGGUAUUUCAUCUCAACAGACGCAGUAAGGAUUACCUCUCCAAUGACUGACAUUUUUUUUUUUUUUGGGGACAAAGAAAGAAACAGAAUUUUGAGUUUCGAAAAGCAAAAUAAGAAAAUUGAGCAGUAAGUGUGAAGGGUCAAGCAAAAUGCAUGUAGCAAGUCUUCGACUUGUUGUUUAUCCCACUAAAGUGAAAAUAAAAACAGAGCCCACGACCCCUUAAUAAUUGAGCAAUUCACCAAUCACCAGUCACCACCACUCGUUACCAUGAAUAUAAUAAAUUGCACCUUGAUAUUUGCAGGGUCCAGCAACAUUGACCUAGUGUCCGGGUAAAUGCUGAAUAAAGAGGAAAAUGGAAUGUAUCCACUCCGAACCUUCGCUUUACAACAAUUUUUAAGAAUCACAAUGGUAAUUCCUACUAUCAUGUUAUCUUAAUGUCGUGUUAAAAUAAAUUAUAAUAUAUUUUUUAUAUGAACACUCUUUUCAUUUAUAAAUUUUUAAGUUUCUAAUAUUUUUCUCACUUUUUUAAUCUUAAUAUUUAUAUUCCUCUCUUCAAAUUUUUUUAUUAUUUAAUUUUUAAAGAAAAAUAUGAAAAAAAUAAGAAAAACAUUAUACUUAGAAAAUAAUUAAUAUUUUAUGGGUCUAAUGCAAUUUUGUCUCACCUAUAAAUUUUUUUGUUUAGCAAUUAGUUUGAGAAUCUUAAAAAAUUAUUUGCAGUAGGAUAAAAUUUUAUUUAAUUUAUUUUUUUACUGUAUUGUAUCUUAAUUAAUUAAGUUGUUAUGUUUAUUACAAGAAUUUUGUUUUGGCUUAGAGGAUUGCUUCUUAAAUUCAUAUUAUUUUAAUGAUAAUAAAAGAUAUUUAUAUUGUGCAAGCAAAAUAAAAUGAAGAGAGAAAGAAAAUAUAAAUGAUUUAAUUCUAUUUAUAUUUGUCCUCAAAUGUAAUUGUAGUAUAAUAGGAGUUUUAUAAGAUUAAUGAAGGGGUGCCAAUAGUCGUACUCUUAUAGAAAAUGACUGUAAUAAUAGUGGAAAUUUAGUGUAAUAAAAAGGAUAAACCGUAAGAAAUUAAUGUUUACUUCAAGAUACGUUAUAAAUAUUGUUUUUCUUAAGAUGUUAUUUGCCUCCACCAAUCGAAUGAUGCACAUGAAUUAAGCAAAUAUGCUUCCAUGAUACAAUAAAGCGCUUAUUUAUUUGUUUACGUUGUAUGUCGACGAAGCAAACUUAAAUACUUUUGAAUGUUGUAAACCUACCAAGAAUCAAUAUAUUAUUUCUACAAAAAGAAACAAUAUAUUAGAUAUUUAAAGCAUAAAAAAUAGACGUUAAUUGAUUAAAUUUGAUUUAGCAAAGACACCUAAGAAAAGAGGGGGGUAACGCCAUUUUUUUGGUGUUUAAAUAGUCUAAAUAUGCCCCCUUUUUGUCCAUCCCCUUUUCCCCUUUUAUUGGGAUUAUUUUUUUUUUUAUAAUCUCCACCCCUUCAUGGUUAUUAGACCAACCAAUUAAAUCCCUCCUAAAGCUACUUAACUUUUUGCCCCCCAACUUAAAGGAUCCCAUAGGGAUUGCUUUUCGGAUGUUUGCCUUUUUUUUUUUCACUUUUUUAUAUUUUUUUUGGGGGUGUUGGGGGGGGGGGGGGGGGGGGGAGUUUAUGAAAAUUAAAGCAAAUAAGAAAGUCAAUUACAGCAGAAUGAGUUUGUGAUUGUGAAAGGUCGAGCAAGUCUACAAAUCAAUUAGACAAAACCCACCACGAGAGUUAAAAUGGAAAAAUAGCGCCCACCACAAAUAUAAAAUUGGAGGAGCUCAAGAUCCUGCCUUUGCUUUACAUAUUAAAUUAAAUAAAAGCCAAACCAAUAACCUUGCCUUUGCUUAACAUGAUUAAUUAAGCACUACUUCAGAAAGAAUACAAAAGUAAUGAACCUUGUAUUAAUCUUAAAUUUUAGGAAUAAAGCUACAUUUUCUCCUCUUACCAUCUUUUCAUGUUCAUUUCAAAAGUUUGAAGAGAGUUUAUCCAUUCUUCUUCUAAACUAAGAAAAUCAACAUUCUUACUUUCUUCAAAUGUUGAAUAAAGAAAAAUAAAUUAUUGAAUAAGGAGGAAAUUAGAAUGUAUUUACCUUCGCUAACCUAAAAUAAAAAAAAUUAAUCUCUCUUUUAUUACUAAAGUACACUAUUUUUUUAAUAAUUGUAUUGAUAAUGACAAUAUAUAUCAUCGAUUAUAUUCUUGUUGUGUUGAAAUAAGGUAUAAAAAUUUUUGGAUCAACAGGAAUUCGACUCAUUUGUUAAAAGUACAUAUUUAAUAUACUAAAAACAAAAAUUAACAUAAACAUGAUUAUUACACUAAAGUGAAAUGAAAGCCAGUACCCGCCGGUUCACCAACAGUAAUUUAGCAAACUUUGCAUUCUAGGAAAUGGACAUUGGUGAAUUAACCAAAGAAGACUUCCUUUGAUAAUGCGGGUAACGCCGGUCUGUCAUGGAAUGGACAUUGGUGAAUUCGACUUCCUUUGACGUUUAGUUGACUAUUUUCACAUCUAGCAGCCCUUGGCGUUUUGUUUUCGUUCGCUCUGUCGUCUUCAUCGCUCUGUCGUCUUCGAUCUUUAUGGCGACAUGGGUAUAUGUGUAUGGUAAACUGUGCGGGUGAAGAGUGUCGACAUGAUGCUGUCACCUUGCUUUAAUUAAUUGCAGUGACGUUAUAAAGUAAGCCUCAAAAAUUUAAAAUCGUGGGUCAAGCCCUGGUGUACAAAUCAGAAGUUGUAACAAAGAAGAAUUUAAAAUUUUUCUUCUUUGUUUCUUUCAUGCAUUAGGCUCGUUAACAAUUCAACAUACCAGGGAUGAGGGAUGCAAGGAAACAAUUAUUUGGUUUGAGUGUUUGGUAUUUUCUCGAUUCGUUCAGAAUUUGAUGAGUUUUUCUGUUUAAAUUGUGCGUAUAAUUUUUAUUUUUAAUUUUCUGACGUCGAUAUCUUUAGCAUAGAUUUUGUCUAUGAUACAUUAAAAAAGUUUGAAUCGCACAUGAUUCACUGUGUUGUAAGAGUAAAAUUUCUUCUUAUUAUUUAGAAUUCAUAUUUUUCAACUAAACUUUUAAUACAAUAUAUCGAGACAGAUCCUCGUGAUGCACAUACAUUUUCGCUUUUAGCCGUGCUGCCUGCUCUCAAAUGUACACUUAUAAAUUCCAAAUGAAAAGAAAUUUUGAAAUUGCGCAGCUCUGGCCAGGGAUCACCUUUUUGCCUUGCUAUUAUCUACAAUAUUUAUUUUUGCAAUCCGCAUGCAUGCUCGGUUAUGAUCACCCACGUGAUCGGCAUUAAGUUGUUUUUUAUCUUCUUAUUAACAAAUUAUUUAGUGUGCGGACUCCAUUCAUGCUCCCACGUUAAUCUUUCCAAAUUUUGUGCAAUAAAAGUUCAGCCGAUCCGCUAUUCACUUUGCCACAGUCUGCUACUUCAUUCUAUUUGUUUACUGCAUAUGAUCAUUANNNNNNNNNNNNNNNNNNNNNNNNNNNNNNNNNNNNNNNNNNNNNNNNNNNNNNNNNNNNNNNNNNNNNNNNNNNNNNNNNNNNNNNNNNNNNNNNNNNNAGAAUUUAUGAUUUUCUAUUAAGAUCUGUAAUAACCCUUUCUUAAUUUUCAAUUGUCCUUAUGAGUAUAUGUCAAUUUGGAUUAUUAUUCCACAUAUACAUAAUGUAUAAAGAAAAGAGUAAUGAUACUGCCACAAACUCUUGUACAAAUUUAUUUUGUACAAACUGACGUGUCAUUAAUUCACUGGUUGAAUGAAAAUAUAAAUUAAUAAAAACAAAUUAUGUGGGCUAAGUGAUAUUUAAUUCAACCAAUCUUAUCAUGCCUCAUCAAUUUGUACAAAAUAAGUUUAUACAAGAGUUUGUGACUGUAUCAUUACUCUAAAGAAAAUUAUUGGCAUAGAAAUUUUUUGCACAAAAAAAAAAAUCCAAGAUGUUUUUGACUGUUGGCGGCACAAUACAUAAAGGUGAAAUUAGGUUAUCGUUUGGAUUUUUUCAUGAGACACCCUAAGGUUUGUUUAGUUUAUGCUUUUGGCCAAAGUUUAUAAUUUUGUUUCAUUUAAGUCCAAUUGAAUUUGCAACGGCCAUCACAUGCUGUCUUCAAGCCGAAAUUUAGGAGCAAUUGCAUGUGAAAUUGCAGUGUAGUCCCUGGUAUUCUAUUUUAUUAAAUUAAAGAUAUGAUUAAUUGGAUUUACUAUGAUAAAGCCGCCAACUUUAUGUGCAUCAAGCCUUAUAAGUUUUGUUCUCGUAAUUUUGAAGCCUCCGCUCAUUAAUUAAUGAUCUCCAAAAUUUCUUAAUGUUCCAAUUUUAAUGUUUGAAAUUUGAAUUGAUGUUUGUGGUUUUAUUUACUUUAUUAAAGAAAUUACUUUGUUAUAAAUGUUCAAUUUGACAUUCAUAUUAUGAUAAUUUGUUAGUUACUAAAGUAGCCAAAUUAGAAAGUUUUCAUAGAUGUCAAAUUAAAUUCAAUUUCAAGUUCUCAUAAUUAUUGUGAUGCGUAUUAUUUAAUGACAUGAUGAUCUUGUUGUAUGAGUAUAUUGAAAUUCACAGAUUAUAAAAUAUUUAGGAAUUGGUCAAAGGUUGAUUAAUUAAUUUUAUAAUAUAUGAUCAUGAUUUGUGGAUAAUUAAUAUGCUUGAUUAGAUAUGUUUAGUAUAUCCAAAGAUAGCAAGCGUGUCUAGUUUAUGUAUAGUUGAUUACUAAUUAUGUGAAAUUAAAGUUAAGCAUCAAUUAUGUUUAUUGCAGUGUAUUGUUGUAUCACCAAAUAAAUUAAGCUUCUUAAUUUUAUGUCAGUAAGUAUUAAUAAAUUAAUAUAGGUAACAUUAAAUAAUUUAAAUUAGCUGUAGAAAAUUUUAAAAUAUUUUAUUCAUAAUAAAAAAUUAGCGAUAUUAUAUCAUGAAUUAAUUAAUAUGUAAAUUAUUUAUUUAUCAAAAUCAUUUUCAUUUAAUUAAAUAUUAAUUGAGGUUUAAUUAUUAGUUAUCAAUAAAAAUUAACAUGGUAUUGUCUUUUUUAUGGUCCUGGCCCCCAUCUCCAAAUUAGAAGCAAUUCUCAAACCCGCCCCAUACCUAAAAGUUCACAUUUGGGGAGCAUCCCCAAUUUUGUGUAUGUAUAUAUGAUUUGGUGAGUUACAAGAAGCAUUACCAGCAAAAGCACAGAAAUGGUUUCGUUUCAGAAGCAAAUAUGAUGCUAAGGAAAGUUUCGUCUUCAGCAUAAUAACUAUAUAAUAUCAUAAUGAAUUGGUGUGCAUUAACCAUGCUCCAGGUUGAUUUGGAAAGUCAUGAUGCUGUUUCCAUUUCAAUUUAGACUCCUUGCUUAUCAGCCAAAUGAUUUAUAAGUAAUAGCCAGUAGAAGUUUUUCUCAAAAUGGAAAUAAGUUGUCUUACUGGGAGAGUCCACAUAUGGUAUCUAAUUUGUGGUGUUAUUAUUUCAAUUGUAAGUUCCCUAAUUCUGGCCAAUGCACAGAUUCAGAAAGUUAUAUUUGGUGAGUUUUUUUUUUUUUAAAGGUUUUGGAUACAACGGCAAGAGAUAGGGAAAAACAACAAAGGGAGAGUCAAAACUCCACAUUAAGCUAACAUUUGAAUUUCCAUUUAUACUUUGCUCCACUCAUUCUAAUGUUUACUGGCUAAUUGUAGUUUAUGGUGUAGCAUCCAAAAAAGAUGACUCAUAGAAUUUAUUCUUUCGGACCACUAAGUAGCUUAAACACACACACACACACACACACACACAAACACAUGUACAUAUGAAUGUGUGUGUAUGUAUAUGUAUAUAUAUAUGUAUGUGCGUAUAUAUAAUCCUUCCCUAAUAUAGACAUCUCUUUUCUUUUUUUUUCUACAUAGACACACUAUCACUAGUAGAAAAAUAGCCUUCUAUGAUACUAUUUUGGUAUCGGCAGCUUGUUUUAUUAACACCGAGUUUAGUGUCAUUAAUCACGGUGCAAGAAAUUUACUGACACAAAUUUUUUGUGUCAACAAUUCUGUGUUACCUUAGAAUCAAAGAAAUGCUGAUUCCAUAGUAUCAAAAUAAUUGCAAUUCUAUACAAUCAUGUAGAUAGUGAUUCUAUGGUAUGAAGCAAGUUUUGAUGCUCUAAUGUCAUUUAUGUUCUGAUUCAAUAAUAUUGGUAUUUACCAAUGCUAUAUUGGUGUCAGCAGUUUUAAAAGUAUUUAAAAAAAAUAAUGAAAUGGUCAUUAUUACAAUUGUCAAUAAGCUGGAAUCAAAACUUAAUAAUCAACAGUUUUGAACAAUGAUUAUGAAACAAAUGUUGGUAUCAAAAUCCAAUAAACUCCAUUUAACAAUUGCCAAUAGGCUCCAUUCAGUAUUCAAUAUUCAACUUUCAACAUUGAAUAACCAAAUUGGUUCUAUCCAAUAUUCAGUAACCAAAUUCAUCAACCACAGUUUCAAUAGCACAACAAUGCUAAAAACCACAGCUAGUUUCUAAUCUAAAAAAACUACAACUUAUUUGUCAUUACGGCAACCUGAGUGGCAGUACUAAACAAUAAAGGCAAAUGGAAUUGGUGUGCUACCGCUAUCAUUCUCCAUGAUCUUCAAUGGCGUGAAUAAUAGUACCAACAACAAGCAACGACAAUACUCAAUUCCAACAAAAUCCACCCAACAAAGGAAAAUGGUUCAUCAAAGUUUGAAAACCACAAAUUUGUUUUACUACACCACUGAGACUAUUCUUGAAACCUGGAAGUAGUUCCUACAUAUAAAACGAAAUCAAGAGUAGGCUCCAACUAAAAAAGGCUUCAACAACAGAGAAAGAAGUUCACUAUACAUACAGAUCAAAGUUAGAACUUUAGCCAACCUGUGGCUUCCUUGCAGUAAUAGAGCAAUCAUGAUCAAAAUGAUUCAAAUGGCCUUUGACAGCUGAGCACCCAUUUAAAGGCAGCAGUGGUUUCUUACGGGAUUUUGAAAGUUUUUGAGUUGUUUCUUCCAUGGGUGUUACAUUUUCAGUGGAAUUAUCCAGUUUCUCUCCUUCAGAAUUCGUACAUGAUGAAUACAUCCGCACAAUGUUAUAUACAUAUGACCACAUGUAGAUGGCUUCAAUCUGAAAUAUCAAUAAUAAUGAAAAAUCAAAAUAUUGAAAAAGAUCCCAAAUUAGUUUGCCUGAGAUGACUAAGGAACAUUCUUAAUAUGAUCCAUCCAAAUACACCAUAAAAAUUAUCCAAAACUAUUCAUAGAAGUAAAGCAAAGAAUUGAAUUGAGUUUAUUCUUAAUCCAUUUCAUUAAAAAAUACUGCUACUUCAGCAAGCAAACCAUUGGUUAAGAUUAUAAGGCAACAAAGGAACAUUUAUAACAUUUUUGCUCACCUAUCUUCAUUUGACUCAAAUAGAAAGAAGGAGAGCGAGAGAGGGAAAAGAACCUGCAGCACAGCAUCCUAAAACAAGGCCCCACAAAUCAUAAGGAGCUUUUGUAGUUUUUAGAACUAUCCAUCCAAGUGCUGAGCCAACGAUGAAUGUAACAAGGAUAUUUAACGGCAUAAACCACCUACAUAGUUUUAUUUUAUUUAUGAAAGCUACUUUCAAUGAAUUGACGGAAGAAAACGAGAAAACAUGGUAAGAAGACCAAAAGAAUAAUUAAAAAAAUAGAAGAAACUGCACAGGUUUCGUAAAGAAUGCAAACUCACAACAUGCCCAUGCCUUCAGCUGUCAUGUGCUCUGCAAGACUGCUACCAAUAAGUGCUGGAUUGCAGAAGUAAAACACAACCUGUACAACAUUAAAAGAACCAAAUCCUUUAACAGCUUGGCAGGCUUUAGUAAAUUUUUUUUUGAAGAAAAAAUAUAACAUCAUUUGAAUUUUUUUUACAGUUAAAUUGCAGUGAAAAUUACCUUGUUCAAAUGCUGGCGUACAAGUCCCCCAAUAUAUCUAUCCGAUCUAGUGCAAGAAAUAAGCCAAGAGCAGUAAGCAGAAGUACCUUUAAAACUGGUAUAAAUGCAGCAAUAAAGAGGUCCAGAAUCUUCAUAGUGGGGUCUUUAAGUCCUCAGAUUAUCUAUAGUACUUGCUGCAGAGGAAAAGGCAUGAUAUGCUACCACAUGAGCAAUAGCUUUUAUAGAAACAAGCCUAAAAUUACUUUAAAAAUCAAUUUAACAUUGUUCGUAAUAGCAAUUUUACCCAUUAAAAACCGAUCUUCAAGCAAGUUUGUAUUUUUCACCACAAAAAUUAAAUCUAGACAAAUGACCUAAAAUAAAAUUUUUCUAAAGCACAUUUCAUAUUUCAUUAAAUUACAAAAAAGGAUUGCGUAUGACUUGAGAGGAAAUUCUGAUUGAUUCACAGUUUUAGCAUAAUAAGAAUACAGAUCACAAAUUAAAAUCCCAGACAACAUACGUGCAAAAUCUUUUUCUUUUUCUUUAUUGGGAAAUUAUCAUUCGUAUACCCUAUAUUUGCUUUGUUAUAAAAAAUACUACAACACUUUGAGGGUGUAUCAAUCCUCCACCCUUAGUUGACAAAAUGUAUUAGCUGACCACCAAACCGUUAGUUGAUGUUUAAAAGUUAACGGAAUUACAAUGAAUUGACGAUUUUACCCUUGAAAAUUAUCACUUGUAUACCCUUAAAUUCUAUAUUUAUCACUUGUAUACCCUUAAAUUAUCACUUGUAUCAUAUGAAAAGACUAAAUUACCCUUCUGACAUCAUCAUACUUAAACGGCAACUAACAGUUUGGUGGUCAGCUGAUACAUUUUGUCAACUUAGGGUGGACGAUUGAUACACCCUCAAAGUGUUGUAGUAUUUUUGAUAAUUGAGUAAACUAAGGGUAUAUAAAUGAUAAUUUCUCUUCUUUAUUAAAAAAAAUACCAGCCAAAAGGAAAGAAAAGGAAAAAAAAAAAAAACAAAUAUAGUUAGGUGGAUAGAUAACGAGGAAGGAGUAAAUAAAUUAUUGCUUGGUUAGAUAUCAUCUCAUAGUAACGAAUGAAAAGCAGAGAUAAGAACAGAUGAACCUCGUCUCUCCACCAGUGGCUUGGGGUCUUGGGGCCCAUCACGCGUGGGAGAGGAUUUCAGUUGGAGGAAGAAGGCGGAGCAUCGGGUGGCAACCUGAAAAGCUGGUGGAGGUAAAGGGAGUGAAGGAGACGGGAGCCACCGACACCGAGAGCUAGAACCACGGAUCUGAGCUCUUGGGUAGCACACCCAAAGUUAGCGAAUUGGUGGAUGCAUGUCUACUCUCAAAGGCGCUCGUCUUGAGCCGUCUUGUGCCAUAUCUUGUUGACGCAGGCUGCCCGUGCCAAGGUCCCGCCGUCCGUGUGUUUCAACUUUCAACACCUCGAACAGGAAGUUCUCAUCUAGAUUUGUAAGGCCAGUUUCUUUGGGAGGCUGAGAGUUUCUGUUUUGUUAAGACUUAAGAGGCUGAGAUAGCAAGAUAAAAACAAAUAAGAUUAUAAUUAAAUUAAACGUGAGAAAUUACUUUUCUAGCAAAAGCUUAAUCCAACGCCUCCAUUACUUCUUUUUUAUGGAUAUAUUCUUUAAUUAUUUUUCGUUAUUUUACUUCCUGUUCAUCAAGUUUGCGAUGUUUACAACAAUUAUUCAUUUGAAAAGUUAUCCAAUAAUGUUAAUACGUGAAAAUUGAGAAUAUGUAUAGCGAAAAAAAUUUCUUCAAAAAUGAAUUAUAUAAUCUUGACUUUGGAAAAUGUGGCCAGAACUGCAAAAAUGAAGAUUAAUUAACCUUGGAUGACAAUGAUUAAUACCCGUCCAUUUCUCCUAAGCUCUGUUUCUUACUUUGAUGCGCACAUGACUUGACAGCUUCAUCUUCCUCUAGCUUCCUUUCGUGAAACGUACUAACAAUUAACAGUAGUCUACUAACAAAUUAAGAUAUAAUCCAAUAUCUUUAGUACAAAUUCAAAUAGUCUCAUUUUGACUUUGAGCAAGCUUUUUAAUUCCACACUCAGAAACAAAAUUUUGUGAAUUCACAUUAUUUAGCAAAAUAAUUAACAAAUUAAUUGUGAUUAUGGUUGACGAUCAUGUUGAUAAGCAUCAUAUACACUAUCGUUGCAUAUUUAGUGAAAUGAUGCAAGGACGAAGUAUCACUUGGCUGUAAGAAUUAGUUACCCAACAAUUUGUGGAGUUUGUUUUAGAUAAAAUAAAUAAAUAAAUAAUAGAGAGCAUAAUUAAGCCGACAUGGAUAGACUAACUUAAACAAUAUAUUGAACACAAUUAUUAUUUUUAUUAACUUCCUUUUUCAAGAAGACACUGUACACAAAAGUAAAUUAAAACAAAAAUCUCUUGUACAGUUCAAGAGAUUUUAUAAGUUGAACUGAGCCAAAUAAAGACAUUCACACAAUUGAUAGAUAAUGAUUGAAAAAAUAUUAUGCUCAAAAUAUUUUCUUUGUAUGUCAAAGAACGAGAGAGUUACAAGCUUAUAUACAACUAUUAAGGUCAGCCAAAUCUCUUAGAGUAAUGGCUAGACAGGCUGUCCUAUUUAUGACUACAUACAUUAAGGAAUGAAAUCAUUUGUACAUAAGGAAUAUUAAUAUUAUCAAGUGAUACUUGCUCAAAAUAAAGAUUGUGUCUAGAAUAAGGGAUUGCCGAUGCCAAAUCUUGCCGCUAAUAAUAUUCGGUGAGCUGUAGCUACUGAUUGUAUGGUUUAUCAAUGAUAACCCAUCAUUUUAUUUAAUUAAUAUAAUACGGAAAGAGUAACUCGCACUUAAGUAGUGUAGUUGAGAUUUCUUCCGUGUUGAGGGACAAUAAAGAGAUCCAGAUUGUCGCUCAUGCUCUCAUCAUUAACAAUACUUAUAAGAGAUAUUGGAUAACCCGCAGACCACUCGACCUUCCCUAAAAAUUCACAACAACAAUUGUAUUCAUUAAUACAUAUAUUAAAAUAAAAAUUAUAAAUGACAUUCAACUGAACAUGGCCUGAGAACCUGGAUAAGGAGCUUCCAUGUUCUUCAAAUUAGAAAAGAUAUCUUCUAACUUCUGGUGAACCGUAAUCGAAAUUGAAGUUGCUUUUGUUUCUGGUUUGAUAAUAUGAUGUUGAUGUAUUUAUAUACGAGUCUUCGUAUAGUAUAGUGCUGUAUGCAAUACAGCCCCUUCAACAGUAAAAAGGAAACUUGAACAACUAGUAUUUUACCAGUUGUACAUUUAAUAAAUUUUUAAAAAUUAUUUUUAAUGCAGAAAAAAUAAAAUAAAACUGAAAAAAUUAAGGAAAUUUUGUAAAUAUUUAACACAAACAAUAUUUGAGAGAGAAAAAUAUUUUUAAUUUCAACAAAAGUUAAAAAAAUUAAAAUAAGCAUGUCUCUACUCUUUUGUUUUAAUGUCAAUAUAUUAGGUGACAUUCCAAGUUAAUUUCACAUAUACCUAAUUUUGAUUAAACUUUUUCACUAAUUGGUUUGCUUAUCUCCACUUUCGGAUCCACUAGUUUUAUGUUUAAUAUUCCUACUAAACUCGUUAAAUAUUAAUAUUUUGGGUCAAAUUCCAAUUAAAUUUAUUUCUCGUUAGACAAGUAUCAAAAUUCCGUUAAACUUUCUCCACAUUUGGUUCAUGUGUUUCAACUAUUAUUCUACUAGUUUUUCAUUUAAUAUUUCAACUCGUUUAUCAACAUUCCAAUUAUAUGGGUUAGAUAUUGAUAUUACUUUUUUUGGUUUGAUCAGUUCUAAAUUUUGGUAAUGUUUUUCCAUCCAUAGGUUCACAUGUUUCAACUUAUUGGUCCACUAAUUUUACGUUUGAUAUUUCUACUAAAUUUGUCAAGUACCAAGAUUUAUUGUUAGCUAGCUUCCAAGUAAUUAACAUUAUUCGUUGGAUAAGUUUCAAGUUUUGGUUGUUCUUUCUCUCUUAAUGGUUCACGUGUUUCCUCUAAUUUUUUCCCUAAUUUUGCGUUGAAAAUUGCCAUUAAUUGGUUGAGAUUCCAAUUACUAAGGUUAGGUACUAGGUUUGUUUUCUAUAACUUUAUUUUUUAUUUUGUAGAUCUCUAAUUUUAGUUGUGCUUUCCCCAUUUUUGGUUGACGUAUUUCAAUUGUAAUUCCACAGGUUUUGUGUUCGUUAUUCCAACUAACUUGGUAAAAUUCUAAUUAUAUGGGUUAAAUAUCAAUAUCACUUUUGCUUGGUUUGAUUAGUCUCAAGUUUUGGUUAUACUUUUUUAUCUUUUGGUUCACAUGUUUCAACUUAUUGGUCCACUGGUUUUGCGUUUCAUAUUCCUAUAAAGUUCGUUAGGUACAGUAUUAUGGGUUAGAUUCCAAGUAAAUAUCAUUUUUCGUUAAAUGAGUUUCUAAUUUUCGUCAAACUUUUUCUCUUAAUGGUUCACGUGUUUCAUCUAAUUUUUUCCCUAAUUUUGUGUUGAAUAUUCCCAUUAGCUAGUUGAGAUUCCCAUUACUGAGGUUAGGUACCAAGUUUGUUUUCUAUAACUUUAUUUUUGGUUUUGUAGUUCUCUAAUUUUGGUUGUGCUUUCUCUAUUUUUUGUUGACGUAUUUCAAUUGUAAUUCCACAAGUUUUGUGUUCGUUAUUCCAACUAACUCCACAUGUUUUGCGUUCAUUAUUAGAAUAAAAGCAACAAGUUCUAUCAAAAUUUAAGAAUGAUUACUAGCGCUUUCAUGCUCGUGGAGGUGAGAAUGGGAGACGCUUGUUGUCUUAAGUGACUAUUCUUACCCCACUAAAUUUAUAAAUUUAAUCAUUCCUUCUCUAUAUGGUGUUUCCACUCCUAACAAUAAUUUUCUUAAUAUUAAAAUUGUCAAUAAUAAUAAUUACAAUUAUUAUAACAAAUAGUAAUAAUGAUAAUAAUUGAUUGAGGAUAAAUUAAUAAUUUAUAAUAACUCAUUCUAAUUUAUGUUCACAAAGUAAACAUAUUAAUAGCAAUAUAGAAUAUUCCAAUUGUGUUUCAUUCAUCCAACAAAUAUCAUAUUUUGUUUGUUAUUCUUCAUUUUUAUUGUAGCCCAUUCUAAUUUUUUUUUAAUUUUUGUAAAUUUCAAUUAUUUAUUAGUGAGCACAUAAAAAAUUUAAUAAAAAUUAAAUUUCACAUUAGAAAGAGCAUGCAAGGUAGACUUUUGUAGGGUUUGCAAAUCAUAUUGUAGGUAUUUGGAAGUUCACAAAAAGUAAAUAAUGUUAUGUACAGAAAUAAGUUCUUGUUUAUAACGUUUUGCUGUAUUUCAGUGACACUUUGUUAUAUAAGGUGUUGGAUGCUAGGAUUAAGUAUGGGAUUGAACUAAUUUUGGAAUUAAAUAUUUAUCCAAUGUUUGUCAAGCUUAGUUGGAUUGUAUUAAGGGGGUAGUAAUUUAAAUUUAAUUCUAAAAUCAUGGGAUUAAUAAUGGUAAUUUACGCAUGGGUUUAGUUGGGAUAAGAUUAAUGAAAAAAGUUGUCCAUUUAUGAGAUUUUUAUUUAUAUCAUUUUUUAUUUGCACCUAAUAUUAAUUAAUUUUUAUUAUGAUUUACUUAAAACUUAUUUAUAUUUAUUAUCUAUGAUCUAAUUAAAUUAAUAUAUUUACUUGUAUUAACUCCGGAGAUUAAAUGUUCACCACUAGUAUAUUUAGUAAUUUAUCGAUAAAAUUAAAUGUUUAAUUAUUUAUUUCGCAAACACACCAAUAUUACAUUAUUUCCCUAUUAUUGCCAUCGGUUCCCAAACAUCCAAGAGCUGGUUGGCAACAAGAGAAAAAAUAGGGGUGACUAAUAACGACGACUAUGUAAUCGUGGCCAAUAAAUUAUUUCACAGUACCUAAUUAUAGCAACGAUUAAAUGCAACCUGAAACAUGCUGUUGAAGUCAUAGUUAUGGAAAAUUUUACAAACUUCAAAUAAGACCAAAAAAUUACAAAGAGUAAUGUUAAAUAUCCCAAUUAAAAUUGUGCCACUAUUCAAUCACAAAUGUAGGAUAGGUGACUAUAAUUUUUCUAUAAGUAAUGCUUCGGUACUUUUAACAGUGUGAUGAGUAAACGUUAAUUUUUAUAUUUUAACUCAUGAUCGUUAAGAGAAAUUAAAUUUGGAGUGUGUUUUUCAAAUAAUGUGACACUUCAAAAAUAUAUAUCUCAUCCUUCUCCCCGUUCCUCAUCAAAAACCACUUUUUCCAAUUUUCUCCCACAGGAUGCAGGAAUGAAGAAUGCAUGGAAGGAGAAAUUACCUAUCCAAACAUCCAUACUUGGAAAUCAUCAACACAAACCACAAAAUUAAGCUAUCUUAUGAAAAAUGUCCAUAAUGCAUAAUCAAAACAUAACAAGUAUUGACAAAUUUGAAAACAAAAUACAUAAUAAUCAUAAUUUCUGGGCAUAAAACCAUGGGAUAAUCACUGAGGAGGUGGCGGAGAUGAAGAUGAGGAUGGCGGCGAAAUCCCGAGAGUCCGGCAGAUGAGCUGCUGGUCAUCUAGAAUCUGCUGCUGCUGUGAAAAAAGACGUUGCUGCUCAGAAUGGAAGUGAUAGUGGAACGCUGCAAACCGUGUCUGAAGCUCGUUCUGUUGUAUAGAUAUGGAACAAAUUAAAACUGUCCAUUUAUAUGGGUAAUGAGUAACUACCUUAUCUUUUUAAUAAUUAAAAGAAAAGUAUUCCUUUAAUUAUUGGUAGAAUUUAUUUUCCAAUUCACUAUAAAAAAUAAAUACUCCUAGGGUGAAGAAUAUAAGUAUAAAUUGAAAUACAAAUUUUUUUUCACUUAAAGUGUUUUCUCAAAUUUUUUUCCAUAAGAAACUCAAAAAUGUAUUAAUGAAUAAGUUGUAAAAUAGAAAGUGGACAAGCCGUCCACUUAAAAAACAAAGCCUAGCACUAUUUGUGCUAUACGAAAGUGUACCCAAUCACCCCUAAAGUAUUUUUCCAACUUUUUCUCGUAUUUUUUUAAAGAAUACUUAAUAGAUUAGAUAUUGUAAUAUAAAAAUUGAAGACAAACAAACAUGAAUGAUGUAUCAAUAAAUUAAUGGAGAUCUAUUACUAUAUUUGGAGUAAAAUUAUGAAUAAAUUAACAUAGAUAAUGAAUUUAUACCUUUACUCUAUAAUGCAAAUGGUAUUAUGUUUUUAAUUCAAUUUAGCACCGUACAAGAAAAGAUUACCUUAUCGCUUCCAAUCCCUCCUUUAGAUCUAAGCCACUUCAUGAACUUCUUGAUCCUUGAUUUGCUCCAGAAUGUGAUAGGAAGUAUAAUCCUAUAAGGCUGAAUGUUGUCAUAUGCAACAUUAUGGAGAUAAAAGAUCUGCAUGAGCAACUUAUAAUUAAGAAGAAUAAUAUUAUUCAUGGUAAGCAUAUGCUCAGCUUUAGUUGCAGAAACUAUGUCACCUGUAGGAAGUGCUAACAAAUUCCAAUGUAUGCUGCUUGUUGUUUCCACUAUUUCAUUGUCACCAGAAUGUGAGUUUGAAUUACCCAUCCUUUUAUCUCUCUUUUUGUACCUUGCCUUUUGUUCGGGAGGAAGGUCUUUGUAGGUUUUCCCAAUAUGUUUUUGUAACUGUCAAAAUGAUAAUGAAUAUGUCUUAAAACAUAAAAAACCCACAAAAUAAUAUCUAUACAUGCUACAUUUAAUGAAUAUAUACUAACCCCAAUCGUAACGGACAAAUCUAAAUUUUCACUUCUCAAACGCUUAACUUCUUCAUUGCUGCAAAAGCAUAACAUCUAAUUACUGUUAUUUGGUAUGGGCGUGUUUCUUUCCCGAUAGGUAAAUCACAACGACUACUUACAAGUAAGAGACAAAUCCAUAAGUUGAAGACAUUGGAAUUGCAUCCUGACCAUUUGCUUUUAGAAUAGGAGCACUUUUUUCUGUAAGCCCCCUGGUAGUUGUUUACGCUUUCGUCGGUGACUGUCCAAGAAAAAUUUUAAAUAAUUAAGUGAAGGAUAAUUAUUCCAUCAAUAUGUAUUAAUUUUUUUUUAAAAGAUGAGUUCCCCCACCUGCUAUUCAAAGUCACUGUGUACUCCUUACUUUUUAAUCUAUUAAACAUUCCAUAUAUGGUGGAAUUCAAGCACAAAUUAUAAUUUUAUUUUAUUUUUUUCCUCAUUUAUACCAAUGAAGAAAAAGAUGACAAGAAUAACAAAGGAAAGAUCUUUAUUUUUGCCCAAGACUAUGACCUCUCACAAACUCACAAUAAAUGAAUGACAGAGUGAAAAAAAAUUGUAUAUAAUAAAGGGAUGGGAUCAAGAGCUCUCAUUUCUUACUACAAAAUUUACGAAAUCUAAAUAUUUCAACAACAUAAAAUUUAAUGGAUAAUGAUCUUUGCUGCAUACAUUAAAAUCAUGACUAUUACCGUGCCCUCAACUUUGCGUCAUACAAACAAAUUUCAUCAUAAAACAAAGUACAGUGCUUUUUUUUUAAUAAAAAAAUACAUUAAAGGCUGCUGGGAAUGAGUAGGGGAUGAUGGGUUGUAACCAAGAUCAAAAUUAAUGCAUUGAAACCAAUAUGACAAAAUCCAUACUAUGAAUUAUUAUAAACACCUAAUAAAGGGUUAGUAUAUCAGAGGGAUUGAUACCUGGAAUGUACUUCAGCAAAACAGGACCCCUGAAAAUAAGAAAGAAAAGUUUUGCUCAACAUUCCAAAAAAAAAAGAAGGCCUGCUCUUUUUAAAAAAUUAUAUCGUUGUAACUUACACAAAAUUCCACUUAGCACAAUCGUAAGGACCAAUCGUAAGAUUAAGAUGAAGGCCUGCUUGCUGCACCAGCUUGAUAAACUUCAGCAGAUCAGAAUUCCCCUCCAAGUAAUACUAAAACUAAUUAAAACAAAAACAAAAAACAAAAAUAGCAAAACAUUUACUGAAGAACUUAUUUAAAAUAUUACCCUAGAUUUGAGACUACAAGCAAACAGUGCCUUCUGAUAAAAACAAAUUACAUGCCAUAAAUAAAAUUAUUACGAGCCCACCAAAGAAAUUGUCAGGGUUAUAGUGAUUACAAACCUUCCCUAACUUUAUUUAUCUUCACCAAUGAAAAUAGGUCAACAUUUAACAUUCUUUUACAACCAAGUACACCAAGUCUUACAAUUAAAGGUUUAAGGUUACAAAGCAUAGUUACUUAAGACUCUUAGCUUUAUCGUAAGGCACCUUAGACAAUUCUAUUACCACACAAAGACCUGGGCCUAUUUCUUAUAAACACGGCAAGAAUCACAUCCAAGGUCAAGCAAAUUCAACAACAAGGUCAUACGGCAUAUACCCAGCACAUACCCAACUCAUUGGCCGAUUUGAGGCACAAAACAAUAGAAUAUUAUCAUAAAACCACCACAAUAUCACUGGAUUCGAAUAUAAGAAUAAUAUAAAUAUAAUUGUUCAAUUCAAUCAUUACCCCAAAUCACGAAUACUAGCGAGACUAUAUUAAUUCAUGCCACUGGCAGCAGCACAUUCUUUAAUAAAAUCCUUCAAAUAUAAAAAAUCAGCUACAUGCGAAUCUAGAAUUUAAAAGGAAAUAUACAAUAAUUUUUUGGAGAGAAGAAAUCCCUUUCCACUUAUAUUGAAGAUAAUUCAAGAAAAUGACAGGCCCCAAUUCGCAGAUCAUCAAAACAAACCCCAUUACUUGCAGUUGCUUGAUGCUCGAUAACGUUACCUCUUUUUUUUUUUCAAUUUAUAAUUUUUUCCUUUUUGUGAAUAACAGAAUCUCAAGAUAAAAUAUUGCAGUAUGACUUAAUUGUAACUCUAUCGGUUCAAAAACAAAAAAUGACAAGCCCUAUCAAUUAUCAUUCAAUUAUCAAUCCCUAGAAAUCAUCUCAAUAUUUCAAGUAAUAAUUUCUCAAUUGCAAAAUCAAAUUAUUGAAACUGAAAUUUCAAGUAAUAUUCAUAAACUAAACUGAAACGUCCUGCAUAUUUAAAUGACAUGAUAAGAUUUUUAAUCAUAUAUUAAAUUAGAGAGAGAGAGCUCACCGAAAUUAUUGGAAGACAUAAGAGAGAGAUACAGCAAGAGUGAUAGAUUGAAGCUGACGAAUUGAAGCUAUGAGUGACGAACUGAAGCUGAGAGUGAUAGAUUGAAGCUGACGAAUUGAAGCGAGAGUAACAGAUCGAGUAAGCCUGAGUAAAUGGCACUCUUUCGACUACAUCUUUGCUCUUUGCUGUGAUGGGUGGUGAAUAUUCUUGAAUACCAAUUUCAUUGAUCCAAAAUUCUAGAUGUAGGAGAAAACAAUAGCAGAGAGAAUAUGAAGGCUGUUACUUUGAGGGAGAGAGAGGCAUCACAAUCCAACGGCUGUGAUUUUUUAGAUAAGUCAAGUGAUGACAUAAUGACUGGCAUAUCUGGUCGCCAAAAUGAGUAAUCAAACAUAUUAACCAUUGGAUGUUUCUACUUCUAUAUAACGGUUGCCCUUUCUUUUAAAGUUAUUGUUACGUUCGGAAAACGUGACCACACAAUCAAAUGUUCUUCUAUUGUCAAAAACAAUAAAUACAUGAGUUUCUUUUUUUAGGUUAUGUCAAUUCAGCAGUUAAGCAGUUAGUGGUUUGUUUACUUAUGAGACCGAAUAAUUAAAAUAUAAAACAAAAAUGAUUAAUAACGUUUACUUGUUAAAAUAUAAGAGAAAUAAAAAUGAAAUAUAUAAAUUCACAUACUAUUUAAAUUAAAGAAUAAUAAUAGAGUCAUAACUUUUUUUCCAGUCAUCACUUUAUUUAAAAAAGAGUUGAACUAUAGGCACUCCUCUGAAAUUCUUAAAAAAAACCCUCUCAUGUUAUAAUUACAUUAAAGGAUAAAUUAAUCUAAUUAUACCGCUAUAUUUGUCUCGCUAAAUCUUUACAUCCACACAACUAUAUCAAAGUGUUUUACAUUUUUUUUUGUUUUCUUUUGCAUUCUAUUUUUUUAAUUUAAAAAAAUUACAUAAUAGCUAUUUGAGUCACUUCUUAAUUCAUACAUAUACAAGAAAUUUAAUAAUUCAAAAAUUUGUAUAAAAAAAAAUUUAGUUGGAGUUGUUUGGAAGAAACUAAAUUUUCUUUUGAAAUCAGAAAGAAACAGAAAAAAAAAAACAAAACAAAAAAAAGAAGACAUUUUGGGAAUUAAAGUAGGUAGAAAAGCAGCUUGAAACGUAAAUUACAAGGGUGCUAAUAGUCUUACUCUUUGAAAAAUGCGGCCUGAACUGACAAAAUGCCGACCUAACCAAUUUUUUAUGACGAUGAUUAAUACUUGUUCGUUUCUCCUUAGCUCUGUUUCUUACAUUGAUGCAUACAUGACUUAAAAGCUUCAUCUUCCUCUAGCUUCCUUUCGUGAAAUCCAAUAUCUUCUGUAGAAAUUCGAAUAAUCUCAUUUUGACUUUGAGUAAGCUUUUCAGUUCAAUUAUCUUGCUGUAGUUUAUUUUUGUAUUUGCACAAAAUAAUGCAGUCAGAACAAAAUAAUUAUGUAACCCGAAGCAAUUCCUUCCAUCUCUACGAUAUUAACAAAAGCCAAAAUUUUCAACCAUAAUUACAAUUAAUUUGCUACUUAAACAACGUGAAGUUACAAAAUUUUGGUUUCUAAAUGCGGAGCUAAAAACCUCUAGCAUCAAUAUAUUGGGAAUUGCGCCCUCAUCGUCUUAAGAUUAUUUGUUAAUAAUUAUGUAGAAAGGAAAAAAGAUGGAUGAUUUCAAUUUCCACCAAUCGAUAUGCAUGCACGAGUCUGAACUGAGACUGAGAAGACUAUUAGUACAGUGACGGAGGAAAAUAAUCUACUGAAGCACCGAGUUGCCCAUUUGGAUUUUUCGGAGAAGGUUGAUCUUUAAAGUUCAUUGUUUAUUCAACCAACCACAAAAAAAUUUAUUAUUUAUUCAACCAAUCAUAAACAAUCUUUUGUAUAUUAAAUUUUUUUUUAAAAGUUCCAGAUGAAAUGAUAUUUUGAAUAUUAUCUGCAAUAUUCACGUGAUUGGUACCACAUUUUUUAUUUUCUUAUUAACAAAAUUAUUUAUUUCGUAGGGACCGUAUUCACGCUUCCAAGUUUCUCAUACAUAUGCAAUUUAACCAUUGCGGUUGAUUAGCAUUUGAGUUUUGACAUGGGAAGCGGUAGGGAUGGGAAUAAAAUCCGGAUCCGCAUGUUAAAUAAUGCAGAUUUACAUGUAAGAAAUUAAAAUCUGCACGGAUCCGAAUCCAAAUUUAAAUAUAAGUGCAUUCAAAAAAUCAGAUAUUCUGCUAAUUUUUAUAUUAAAUUAAAAAAAUAUAUAUUAACUUUAACUUAAAAACAAAUUUAACCCAACUCUCACAUUCACACGCGCUCACAACACUUUUCCAGCAGCCACAACCCACAAACCCCUAACACCCAAAUCCCCCUAAUUCCGUAGGAUGUCGCCGUCUGCCUCACGGCCUCGCCUAAGCCUUGUGUCCAAGCCUCGAUCUAAGUCGGUCGCUGUCGUUGCGCGCUGCACGCCUCGAUCUGAGUCGGUCGCUGCCGCUGCACGCUGCACGCCUCGAUCUGAGUAAGUUGCUGCCGCUACACGCUCGAUCUGAGUCAGUUGCUGUCGAAUCCUCGCCAUCGAAGAAGCCUCUCGCUGUCGAAUCCUCGCCCUCGGAGAAGCCUCGUCUAAGCACUUUAAUUAAAAUGGUCUUGGCAAGCCUUGUUGAAUCCUUUGGCCUUUGUUGAUUCAAUUUAGUUUAAUUUUGAAUAAAUUUCUUUGCUGAUUCGUUUCAUCACUUUAAUUAAAUGCAUUAAUUUUCAAUAUAAUGUAAAUGUUUAAUAGGUUUUGGGAUUAGGUUUUAAUUUGGAAAAUUGUUGAAUUUUUAAAUUAAAAAUUUAAAUGAAAUCUUGGUGAAACCUGUUGUCAUCUGCCGGUUAACAUAGCUAGUCUCUGAAAUAAUUUCUUGAUUCACUAAUUAUGAGUUCAAAUUUGAUGCAGAAUGGGCAACCAGCCUACUGCAAACAAAUCUUCUGGAACAGUUCAGAUGAAGGGACAGCCAAUCCAGCAAAACAGUUAUAAACAACUCUAAAUAAAUUCAUAUACGCAUAGCAGCUAAUUACAGUCUUGAUACUUCAUUAGGUUUUUGUUAAUUUUCUAUACAGUUGUGCUGUGCAUUAAAGUUUUGUUAAAUGAAAUCGGUAGGUGAGGAUUAAUUAAUCAAUUAAUUAAGAUCCAGUUAAUGUAAUUAAUUUUAUUUGAUUUUUUUAAUUCGAGUUCUAAAUUAAUCAAUUAAUUUAGAUUCAUGUGAAAUUGAAGUGAAUUAGUUUCGAUCUGUUUUUCGUCCUAUGUUUGUCUGUGUUUACUCUUACUUUUUUUUUGUUUAAAUUUUCGUUUUCUUAUUGUUUACUGAAUAAAUUUCUGAGCUGUAUUUGAGUAUGAUUGAUUUGUGAUUUUAAUUUGUGACUUUUUUUUUUGGAAUUUAAAUCUGAAUGCUUUUUAAGUUGAAUCUGAUUGUGUUGGGCUGCGAUUUAAUUGAGUGAUGAGGGAGCGCCAAAUUGUGAGAGCCAAAUAUUCAAUAACCGAUAAAUUAUAUUUAUAAAUAUUAAUAGCGAUGGCACAUAAACAAUUAAUUCAAGAACUUGCCCAUAGUGAUUAAUUUAAAGAGUAUAAGUAACAUUGCAGUACAGUUAGCCCUUGCGUGUUUAAUUAGCAAUUGAAAACUAAUGUUGCUGAUGAGGUAGAACAUUAUAACACUGUUGCUGAUGAGGCAGCUGGUAAUUCUUCUGGUGAAGAUAUUAAGACUAUUAAAGCUGAAAUGUAAUUAGAGAAAUAUAAUGCAUUCCCUUAGUUUGCUUUUUGUUUUUGAUAUUUGUUUGGCUAAUGCUUUGCUUAGAUUACUUUUUGUUUUUGAGAUUUUAUUGGCUUAGUCAUGGGGUAUUGUUUUCUCUUCUAAUUUCUAUUUUUGUUGUUAUGGGAUUUUAUUGGCUUACUUUUUGUUUUUGAGAUUUAUCCAGUGCUUUCAAUAAAUCAUGGUCGAUUUACUGUUAAUUAAUCAAAUUUAAUUUACCCAAAUUACUCAUGUACACGAUCAAAAUAAUUAUAAUUCCAUGAUAUAUAUACACGCGCGCACACAAACAAAAUGUAAUUAACUUUGAAAUAUAAAAUAUUUAAAAUAAUCACCGUACUAACAAUUCACAAAUCAGAUUUUAUAUAAAUAGACGCAAUAAUGUUAAUCUAGCGAAUCCAGUCAUAAUAAUUUGAUUUUCAUUUAUAUUAAUUAUGUCAAACCAUGCUAUUUUAAUAAAUAGCACUUGAGAAUAUAUAUAUCCAACAUGUAAAAUUUCAAAACAAUAUUUGCCAAAAUCUGAUGAAGAGAAUAUACACGCACGCACAUAUAUAAUCGUACAGCAGAAGGAUAAAUAAAAGAAAAUGAAGUUUCAACAGUUGAAUAAUGCAAAUUCAUUUUUUUUUAACAAGCAUUUUAUUGUUUAAUUAAAAAAUUCGAAAACCGAUUGGUCUUAUAUACAUGAUAAAAACUCACCGACGCCGAACCAUAUUCAUUUAAAUUAGUUUUCAACUGAGAUUUGAAUUUUAAAAUUAUAUAAACAAGCACGCCCAAUUUUUUUUUUUAAAAAGUAGUAAUUAUAAAAUAUUUAUGUCGUCCUCUAAAAAACCAAUUUACAAUCUAUAAAACCAAUUUACAAUCUAUUUCAACAUAAGGUAUAUGGGUUAACAAGUCCCAAUAUUGUCCUCCAUCCUUUCUGCACUUCUCUUCUAUCAACCGACAUCUCCAGAUGUCUAAUUGCAAAAGUGAGGAAGGCAGGCCCUUCUCCGGAAAGUAUUUGAGCUUGGGACAUUCCCAGAGAUACAAUUCAGUGAGGUUUUGAAGAUCAACAAUUGAAGAAGAUAGGCGUUCCAGAUUUGGAAAUUUAUAAAUGCUCAGAGAUGUUAGAGAGGCAGGAAGAGGAAGCGCGGUCCCUAAUCUUUUGUCCUCUAGUGGAAAUGACGCCAUGUCGUCAUCGCAUCCUCUGAUUUCAAGACGUCGCAGAGAGGAGAAUCUGUGAAAUCCCCGUCCCCGCUCAAUCAUUGACUUCCAAAUCUCCAUAUUACCCCAAAUAUCAAGUGACUGAAGGUUGGUGGGGAGGCCAUCUUCUUCUUCAAGGCUUGGAAGCGCACCUCCUUUUCCUAUUGUUAAUUCUUGAAGAGAGCUCAGAUUGUGCAUUCCCUUGGGUAAGGCCUCUAGUCUCUUACAAUUAGAUAUCGCCAGCCUCCUGAGUUUCGCACAAGGCAAUCCCCCUUCGGGAAAGGACACCAGAUUUUUACAACUAUCUAUGCUGAUUGUUUCAAGAGAUGUGUUGUUGUCCAACCUUUCUGCUAUUGACUUCAACUUUGAACAACUCCAAACAACGAGGGACUUAAGAGACGAAGGUGGAUUGCCAACUUCAAGGGACUCAAGCGUGGCAGGUAACUCGUUUUUUGAAAAUAUACAUGUCAGAGAUGGACAACUAAUAAUUUCUAAGUGCUCGAGAAGAGAUGAGGUGUACCUUCUGCUGCUGCUGCUACACUGGAUGCCCUCUUCCACUGUCAAAGUCCUUAUAUUAUCACAAUCUCUGAUGCUCAACUUCUUAAGGCUCGGUGGCAGCUGGACAGCAGCAACAUAUGUCAACGAAUGGCAAUUCAGAAUAUUCAAGAUCUCGAGAGACGAAUUGGUGUCGCACAUCCAUGCCUCUGGUAACGAUUUCAGUGCACCACAAUACCUAAUCUCAAUUUCCUUCAACUUGGAAGGCAGAGCAACCUCAGGAAAGGAAACAAGGGAACUGCACUUCCAGAUUUCUAUCUCUCUCAAGGAACUGAGGCUGAACGAUGAUUGUGGCAGCUUCACAAGGCCUUCGCAAUUACUCAAUCUUAGAUAUUCAAGUCUGCAUGACAACUCGCAGAGCUGCUGUUGUUGGUCUUUCUUUUCCUCCGCCACCAAGGAUUGAAGUUUGGGACAGCUUGUAAUCGUCAGUCUUUUGAGAGAGCAAAUGUCUUGCAGUAAUUCGUUAUGACUCUUCCAUAUAUGUGUUUCAUUUUUAAUAUUUUUUAUCUCCAAUUCUUCCAGUUUUGGUAUUCGCGGCUUCAAUGGCCCUGCGAGAAACACUUGAUUUGAUGUAUCUCUACAAACCACUGCAUUCUGUGAGCCGAGAUGAUCAAUUGCACUUCUCCACACAACCUUUUUACAUCCACGAAUUACCAAUUUGCAAAGAGCUGGAAGACUCCUAAUUGAAAUUGACAAUUCUUCGCAUUGUUCAAUAACAAGCAUCUCCAAUGCAGGAAGCUGCUCUGGAAAUGUUCCUUGCAGUUUAGAACAUCUUAAAAUGUGAAGCUCUCUCAAUUUAGGAAACCCUUCAACUCCCUGACUGGAUCCAUGAGGAAACCACUCUUCCCACUCUUGCAGGUCUUCAAAAUGAAGAGUCUCCAAGCAUGUAAAUGGAAUUUGAGAGUCAUCCCCAUAGAACUCUGAACCCAAUCUCUUUACUCUACUCAUUCCACGCACUGUAAGAUGCUUCAGAGAGGGCAGUUGGCCGACUGACGGCAGGGCAGUACACAUGCCGCAAUCUUCAAAUUUAAGUGUUACUAAAUUUAAGAAUGAGGAAUCUCCUAACCAUGUUGGAAAUUUUGUACCUCCAUAGCCACAGAUGCCAAAUUGUUCCAGAUUUUUAUGGGGUUUGAGCAUGUCAAGCACACCCAUUUCAGUUUCUGCCUCCCUUGAAGAUGAACCAUCGGUGCUGCAAGUCCAAUUAAGCGAUAAUUCUCUAAGAUUCUUCUUUCCAUCCAACCGAGCCUCCUUUGCAUCACCAAUGUCUUUUACAUUCUCUAAUUUUGAAAUUUUAAGUGUCCCCUGAAGAUGUAUCAAUGACUUUAGCUCUCGUAACCCAGAACCAUUGUCUUUUCCCACAGCAAAAUUACCCAGCGUUUGAAGACAAGUCAGCUUACCAAUUCCUAGUGGCAUUUCCUCCAAGGAAUCUGUAUUUGAAUUAUUGAGAUGAUGCAAUUUGAUGAGAUUUCCCAUGUCUGCACACAACUUCUUCAGUCGUCGACAGCCCUCCAAAAGAAGGGUGUGCAAGUUGUAAAGCUUGCUGACUGAUUCAGGCAGAGUUUUAAUCUCAGUUCCAGACAGGUUAAGGUGCCUUAAAUACCUCAAAUCACCAACUGAAUCCGGCAGCUCGGCGAUGCAAUAUCCACGCAGAGAGAAGACCCUUAAGCUUUGGAGUUUGAACAACUUAGGAAGAAUGCUAUGAGCCAAGUAUCCAUGCCGACUAUUUAACAUCACUGGUAAAAAAGUUCUCAAAUGUUGGAUAUCAUACAAUUUCUCAAACCUUUGAACGCCAUCAUAAUCUCCACGAAUGUACGACAGAUAACGAAGAUUUCUAGAAAAACAUUGUUGCUUGUUAACCUCCGAGGUAUACUCCAGUGUGAAGUAUGUCUCCCCUGCAGCCCAACGGGCAAGGUCGUUGAUAAGAUCGUGCAUAACAAAUCGUGAUAUACUGUUGCUCGAUUGCUGGAAAAAAGAUCUUCCACGUAGCUCUUGAAAGAACUUUCGACCGAGAUCUUCACUAGGAUUCCCACUCUCUCCGUGAUUCAAGAAACCCACAGCACUCCAUAAUAAAAUUAUCUCCCCCUCUUCAAAUUCAUAAUCCUUUGGAAACAAUGAGCAAUACGCAAAGCAUUGUUUCAAAGGUGCCGAAAGAUAAUAGUAGCUCACUCUAAGCGCCGGCAUAAUGUCACAUCUCUCUUCUUGCAAUUCCCAUAUCUUGGUACUGAGCACUCUCUCCCAAUCACAUCUGUCAUCUUUUCCUCGCAAAAGUCCUCCAAGUGUUUGCGCUGCCAAGGGCAAGCCAUCGCAUUUGGCCACUAUCUUCUUGCCAAUUUCCUCCAAUAACUUAUCUGACCCCAAAGAGUGUUGAGCGAACACAGACAGACAAUCAUCAUUUGACAACUUUUUCAAUUGAUAAGCCCGAACAGUCCCCAUGAUGGCUGCAACCUCUUGAUUACGAGCUGUGACAAUAAUCUUACUUCCCGGUGCGCCAGCUUCAAAUGGAGGUCUGAGUCGAUCCCAAUCAUUGUAAUUCUCAUUCCAAACGUCAUCUAAAACAAGCAAAAAUUUUUUUCCAGAUAACUUCUUCUUCAGCUCCUCUUGAAGCUUAUUCAAGUUGUGAUUAUCCACGUUCUGGUCAGGAACAAUGGAUAUCAAGAUUGUUUUUGUUAGCCUGAAAACAUCGAAAUCAUCAGAGACACAAGUCCAUGCCUUGAGAUCAAAAUGAUCCUGCACUUGCUUAUCAUUGUAGACAAGCUGAGCAAGAGUGGUUUUGCCCAGCCCGCCCAUACCUAUGAUAGGAAUAACAGAGAAUUCACCAUCGUUGCUUAAAUCAUCCCUCAAAAGCAGUUCUACAACAUCCUUCUUUUCUGUUUCUCUGCCAUAUGCUUUGGCUUCCUUCACCAAAGAAGUUGUCUCUCGCCUUUGCCUGUCUUUUAUGGUCCUCCCACCUGAACUUACGUUCAAACCCAGCGAAUCCUUCUGAGUUACAAUUUCUUGAAAUCUGCCGUUGAUCUCUUUGAUUUUGGACAUUAUGGCGUAAUCGAACUGAAUCGAUUGUGGAGCAAAAGUGGUGCAGCAAGUGGGAAUGAGCUUCCGAAACUUACUUGUUCUUGUACGACUGCUACUGGGUUGAUCAAGAGCAGCAGCAGGUUCUCCAUUUCCAAGCAGCAACUUCCUCCGGAAAACCUCAGUUUGAAACUCAUCCAACAGGUCCUCAACAUCAUAAGCCAAGUUCUGAAGCUCGCCAAGCCACAACUUCACAGACUGAUCAGUCGUUUUCUUCUCCUCAGCAUCAGCAAGCACCGCCUUGAUCAUCACCAACAUAUUCUUCCACUUCUUUAGGUCGGCCUGGAUUUGCUCUUGGCGUGCAAACAACCGAAUCCCCUCUGAAGCUAACUUAUUGACCAGCAAAUCAACGGAAGCCGUAAGGAUUGCCUCUCCGAUGAUUGACAUUUUUUUUUUGUUUUUGUUUUGCAAAGAAAGAAACAGAAUUUUGAGUUUUGAAAAGCAAAAUGAGAAAAUUGAACAGUAAGUGUGGAGGGUCAAGCAAAAUGCGCGUAACAAGUCUUCCGCUUGUUGUUUAUUCCAGUAAAGCUAGAAUAAAAACAGAGCCCACCACCCAUUAAUAAUAAUUGAGCAAUUCACCAACCACCAAUCACCAGUCACCACUACUCGUUACCAUGAAUAUAAUAAAUUGCAACUUGAUAUUUGCAGGGUCCAGCAACAUUGACCCAGUGUCCGGGUAAAUGCUGAUAAAUCAAAACGUUUAUCUCUCUCUCUCUUUUCCAUAAAAUUACUUUAUUUAUUGAAUUAAUUUCCAUGCUAAAACGAAGACUUAAAAGUGCACUACAAUUUUUUAUAAUCACAAUGAUAAUUCUUACUAUCAUGUUAUCUUAAUGUCGUGUCAAAAUAAAUUAUAACAAAGUUUUUUCUAUAUGAAUACUCUUUUCAUUUAUAAAUUUUUCAGUUUUUAAUAUUUUUCUCACUCUUUUAGUCUUAAUAUUUGUAUUCCUCUCUUCAAACUUUCUUAAUUAUUUAAUUUUUAAAGAAAAAUCUAAAAAAAAGUAAGAAAAACAUUAUACUUAGAAAAUAAUGAAUAUUUUAUGGGUAUAAUACAAUUUUGUCUCACCUAUAAAUUUGUUGUUUAGCAAUUAGUUUGAGAAUUUUAAAAAAUUAUUUACAGUAGGAUAAAUUUUUAUUUAAUUUAUUUUUUCACAAUAUUGUAUCUUAAUUAAUUAAGUUGUUAUGUUUAUUACAAAAAUUUUGUUUUGGCUUAGAGGAUUACUUCUUAAAUUCAAAUUAUUUUAAUGAUAAUAAAAGAUAUUUAUAUUGUGUAAACAAAAUAAAAUUGAAGAGAGAAAGAAAAUAUAAAUGACUUAAUUCUAUUUAUAUUUGUCCUUAAAAUGUAAUUGUAAUAGAAUAAGGGUUUUAUAAGAUUAAUGAAGGGAUACCGAUAGUCCUACUCUUAUGGAAAAUGGCAGUAAAAAUGGAAUGUAUCCACUACAAACCUUCGCUUUACAAGUCUUCAAUCAAACAUGUAUUGAUUUGUAAAAGGAUCACUAGCAUCCGAUUAUUGGGAGGUAUUAUGGAGAAGUCACGCUUAGUAUUUACAAUUCAUGUAAGAUGAAUUUGUAAGACUUAUUAAUUUCGAUGAAAAUAUAGAUUUAUUAAGUUACUAAUUCAUUAAGUUAACAUGAGAUAUUAAUAUUUACUAAUUGUGGCGAUUAAUUUAUUUAACUUGUCAUGAUUUUCAAUUAAGAAGGAAGUUCAGUCAAUUUAUGGAAAGAAGGAUAAUUUUUUUUUUCAGAAUUUUAAUUUCUAGGAUUUUAUUUCACUUUGUUUCGAUUGUUGAUGUUGCUAAAGAGGCAGUGAAAGUUUGCUGAAUGCCAUCAGAUGCUUGUAUCUUAUCUCACAAAAUGUCAAUAUCGGUUUGUUUCCCUAUAGGCGCAGCCAUCAUGAAUUGAAAGUAACAACGUGAUGAGCAUAUAACAUAUACAUAUUUUACCAUUAAUUAUAUAAUUGUUAGUUAUUUUUAUUUGUUAUUUUUAAUUAAUUAAAUUAUUUUGUUGAAUAAAAAAUUAAUUAGAGAUUCUAGAUAAAAAGGGCAUGAAGAAGUUUAAUUUGGGAAGCAAAAAAAAAUAAAUUGAAAGAUAAAAAUACAGACAAGGAUUAAUGGAAUCCAAGCCGAAAAAAUCAAAGCACAAGGAUUUUCUUAAUGUCAUUAUUUAGGCAAGGGUUUUGAUGCAGCGGAAGUUUAAGAGAAUCAAAUCUGAAGAAUUUAUUAAGAGAAUCAAAUUGGAAGUUUUGAUGCAGCAAAAAAAAACUGAAGUUUGAAUUUCACUCACAUAGGUAAUAAGAGAAUUAAAUUAUUGUUAGAUUAAAUUGAUUAAAAAAAAUUAUCUGAUAUCCAAAACAGCAUAUCAACAAAAUUGAAAUAAAAGAAAAUUGAAGAGAAAAACCAUCGAGAGAACGAAAAUUAACACACGAAAAUUUCGAUAACUUCACUUAUUAAAACUUGGUUAUUUCAUUUUCAUUGAUAAUCAUUUUGACACCGGUCAAAUUUAAAAGUUUAAAUAAUGGGGGCGCUAUUUCUUUCCAGCUAUGCCCAUCGACUAAUUAAAAUACCGCCGAAACAGUUCAGGGAUAGUAUAGUAAUUUCAUUUAACAGUUUUCGUGCUUCAAAUCAUCAAAUCAAACUCACGGUUUCCGACUUGUAAUGGGUGCAACUCAUGUUUUUCAAACAUUAAGAUCUUUUGCCAUUCUGUUACUAUCCCAUGGUUAUUUAAGUUACAAGAGACAGUAAAAAACAUCAUCAUAUUUUAACGUCCUUUGAAUAUUUGAAGAGGUUAAAAUUUAGGCAGUGUUAUAUAAAAUAUAAUGUAAAUUAGUCUCAGUAAUUGUGUAGUUGUAUGUGAGAAAACAUACAAUGUAAAAGUGUGUGUGAGAAAACAAAAAAUAUGAAUCACCUUUGAUGUAGUUGUAUGGUUGUAAAGAAUUAGAUGGAGAAAUAUAGUAUAUAAUUAAAUUUAUUUUGUUCUUUAAAACGGAUAGGUUUUAUGCAAAUUUUUCAGAGGAGUGCCAAUAUUUCAACUCUAUCAUUGCUAUUAGUUUGUCUUGUAAUUCAAUCAUUGCCGACAAGUAUUAAUUGUGACUAUUAUUAUUUUAAAAAUAUUAUUAUUAUUAUCGUCGUUAUUCUUAACAGCAAUGACUAGAAUUAUAAUAAUAACAAUAACGUCAAUACAAUAAUAUAACAACAUAAUAAUAUUUUAAUUGGGGUCUUCCACCUGGGUAUGCAUGAUUCCUUGUGACAUGAUAUAGGGUGCGUUUGGGAUUGAGGUUAGGCAGCUGUAGCUUAAAAGCUACAGCACUAAAGUGUUUGAUAAACACUAACUGCUGUAGCUUUUAAGCUAUAUUGAUAUGAUUUUUCACUUGUAUAAUACAAAAUCUAUUAUAUCUUUAAAAAUUUUAUCAAAAUUAUUAUUUAAAAUUUAUAUUUACUAUAUAUUAUUAAAUUUUGUUUCAUAAUUACAGUUUUUUUUUCACAGCAGCUGUAGCUUAAAAGCUACAACACCUCAAUCCCAAACGCACCCAUAGAGCCAAUUAAAUUCUGAAAUGCGUGCAAUAAAGACUGUAAAGUGACCAGUUAUUCCGGUUGAAUUCACAAGAGCUCUUGUUUGUGUGUUUAUGUUUCAAGUUGUGUACUCUGUGUUACGAGUUCUCUAAUUAGUCUGAUAUUAUCGCAAUUAUUGCUCAAUAAUGUUACAAGUAUUAUAAUAUAUGUCACUAGUACGGUCGUUGUCUCGAGUGGUACACAUUAAGGCACAAAUUUAGAACGAAAAGCUUCCCAGUAAAAUAAGUUAUUUAAUUAAUUAAAUAAGAAUAAAAUGAAUUUGUGAAAGAAAUUUAAAUUUUAUUUUGAAUUAUUUUGACCAAAAUUUAAGUUUUUUUUUUUUAAAUUUGUUUAAGAAAAUGCAUUGUAAUUGUCUUGUUUUAAUUGGAAAAUCAAUAAAAAAAAUUAUGUAACAGAAAAAAAAAAAAAAAAAAGCAAAACGGUUUGUUUUGGAUGGAGUCCAUAGAUUCCAAUAUUUCCUUCACGAAAACUACAAAAAAUUAUCAAAGCCAUCAAUUUCUACACUCUCACCGAGCAAAUACUCUCAACCUAGAUGAAAGUGUAUAAAUCAACCCCAAUCAGUCCAUCAAUGUCGUCAACCUCAUACAGCAUAAAAAAAUCUGUGUCCAUUAAACCGCCAUCUUGCCAUCUCGUUGUAGUAUUUUACUGUUCAAAUCUAGUUAUCAAUUGGGCAAAAUGGGGACCAAUCUGCAAGUCUUUAAAAUAGAAAGAAACUUUAAUUGAGCACUAUGUUCACGGUGGUGGACCCGGCGGCAGUAAUCUUUAGGGUGGAGUUAUUUAUAUUUUAAAAAUUAUUUUAAACACUCUAAUUUUAAUAAGAAUAUGUAUUACAAAAAUAUUUAUCAUAUAAGUUACUAUUAAGAAUAAUAUAAUAUAUUAUAAGUCAACAUUAUAUAAUUAUUGUGAACACUUGUAUAGCACAAUCCUUAUUUAUUUUAUUAUUCUCAUGACUUAAAUAUAAAAAUUUUUAUUUCCAACAUCUUAAUUAAUAUGUAGAUGAAUAAUAAGGAAAUUAACUUUGAGAAAAAAUUAAAUACAAAAUAUGUGUAAUACUUUUAAAAAAUAAAAUAAAACAAAAGUAUUGCACAAGAUUUUUUUUUGGGAGGGAUUUUGCCAUUCUUCUUCUUCUUCUUCUCCUUCUCUCUCUCUCUCUCUCUCUCUCUCUCUCUCUCUCUCUCUCUCUUUUGGUAGUAUUUAUGGAACAUUUUCUCUUGUUAUGUUCUCAUUGCAAGUUAUUUUGGGUGCAAAAGUCAAUAUUAAAAAUAAAUUAAAUAAAAAAUUAGUAACUAAAAUUAUGUUAAAUUAUUUUUUUACAACUUAAUUUUUAAUUAUAUUUUGUGAGUAUAUGCUAAAUCUCUUAAAAAUAGAGUGUUGAAUAAUUUUAUUAGUUUUUUUAAAUAAAUGAAGCUAAGUAACUUAAAAAGUUUAGUAAGGAUAUUUUUGAAUUUUAAAUAAUGUACAAAGUAAAAUUUAAUUUUUUUAUAAUUAAGCUACGAGCGUGCAAAGUAAUAUUUAGAGUGCUAAUAGUCCUACCCUAAUCUUUAUCAUCACAUUAUUUUCCAUAAAAAGUUUACAAUUAUCUCUUUAUUGGAUAAUUUUGUUCCCUCUCUUACCGUUAUGUUCCCCUACAUUCUCAUAUCUGCAUCACCAUUUAAAUUGUAAUCAUAACGUUAAUCUUUAUCAUUUCACAUAUUUUGCCAAAUUUAUACGCACUGCAAAGCUCUUUCCUUUUUUUUUUUUUUCCCGUUAAGUUUGCUAUAAUGUACAUGAAGAAUAGUUAAAGAGCUCUUUCGAGUCCUUAUCCUUUCUUUCGAGUUUACUUUUGCUUUUUUUUUUUUUUAACGUUUCUCUGGAAUUCACUUCAACAUCACUGGCGCGUUUUCUUCUUUCUCACUGCAACAUCAACUGGGCCACCACCUCUUGCCUCUCCCGGUUCCCCUCAAUUUUCGUAUUCAAUGUCCACCGUUGAUUGUACAUUUAUUAAAAUUCUGUGGUUAUUAUUUUUUGCAUAUAUUUAAUUCCACACGGUCUAGAUCGUAGUUGUGUCCUUUUAAUUGAGGAUGAGAAUGAAAUUAUGAAAUUUAAGUUGGGUAAAAAUGGUGAGUAUGAGGAAAUUAAAUUACAAUUCUUUAAGAUAAAUAAUUUGUAAAUCCCACAUAUUUCAUUUUUAUUUCUCUAGUUAAAUUAUAUUUUAAUAAAUAAAUAUAAUCAAUUAUUUUAAUAUUUUAAUUAAUAAACACGACAUUAACUACGGAACUAAAAAAUCCAAAAAAAAAAAAACAGAGGCGUGUGUGUAUUGCUUGUGACAAAUGUCACCCAUGGAAAACCUUGUGAAAGGCAUUUGAAUGUGUGGCCACAUUUAAUGAACGAAACGAUAACUUUAAAAGAAAGUAUGUACUGUGUUAAUUAUUAGGCUUUAGCUUAAUGAUUUCAAUUAGUUUGUCUUUUAAUUAAAUUAUUGCCGACAAACACUAUCACGACCCACGUCCGCUACUUGUGUGAAUGUGUGUAUAAAUAUCCGCAGCAUAUUAUCAAACUUGAUGCGUGAUCAUCUUUAAGUUUUGGUUACGGUUCAUCAGACGUUAGAAGACAUCUUUUUUAAUUUGAAGAAGAUGGAAACUCCGCAGGUUCUUAUGCCAUGUUCAAUUGAAUGUCAUUUAUAAUUUUUAUUUUAAUAUUAUGUAUUUAUGAAUAUAAUUAUUAUUAUGAUUUUUUCAAAUAAAAACGGAUGGUCUAAGGGUAAUUCAAUAACUAUGUACAGUAUUAUUAAUGAUGAGAGCGUGAAUGAUAAUUUAGAUUUUAUUCUCUUCUCUCAAUACAGAAGAAAUCUCGACUGUAGUAGUUAAGUGUUAUGUAACUCUUUCGUAUUAUGUUCAAUUAAUAAUAAAAUGAUGAGUUAUUAUUACCUGUCAAUUAUGUGAGUGUCUUUGUUUGAUUUAGUUCAACUUAUAAAAUCUCUUGAGAUAUAUAAGAGAUUUUCUUUGUUUACUUUCAUGUACCGCGUCUUCUUGUAAAAAGUAAUUAAUAAAAAAAAUAUCAUUGUGUGCCAUGUAUUGACUAAGUUAGUGUAUUCAUGUUAGGUUAAUUGUGCUCUCUCUUCUUGAUUUUUUUUUAUUAAAAAAAACUCCACGUAUUCUUGGUUAGCUAAUUCUUGCAGGUAGCAAGUGAUCGAUCCUUUUCUUUCCCCUACUGCUGUACCACCAAAUCCUUACAAUUACAUAUCAAGUGGUAUUCGAGCCGUCAAAGGAUCCAUGGAAACACGCAACAAAUCAAAUGCUGAAUUUUGCGAAGAGAUUCACGAAAUCCUUGCUAUACAUGAGUCUAGUUUUGACCAAGUUCACGUCACGCAUCAGCUGCGGGUUUGAAUGGUACCUAGUGGAUAUUUUGUGAGUUCCCACUAAUAAAAUCACACUUGCACAAAACUUAAAAAUUUAAAUUACGUAAUUCAAAUUAUAAAUUUAUAAUGGUAGCCUAAAAAAUCACAUAAAAUACUUAAUUCUAGAUUUUAUCAAUGUAAAUGAGAAAUGACAGUUUUAACAUUAAAAUAAAUACACAAAAUAUAUCAAUUUAACAUAAAUUUUUAAAUUUAAUUACCAAAUACAUAAGUCUAUCGCAACUCAAAGUGCUUUCAAUUGAAAACGAAAAAAGAGAAAGAAAAAAAAAACAAAGAACUACAAAUCAAAAUAGCAGCCAUGACCCAUUUUACAGUCUCAUUCAAUACCACUAGCACCCAUCAAACACGAUUUUUCUAAACAAAGUAUAAAGUACAAAAUUACAAUAAGCAUAUCAUACUCCAUGCUUUAAGUUAAAGAUCCUUAUAUCUUUUUAUGAAUAAUUUUUUAAUGAAAUUUUAUGAUUAAAAUUAAAAAUACAAACAUUCAAAUAAGAAUGUCGGACACUUGCGCAACUAUUCACCAAAUUUUUUCUCUAUAAAAAUCGACCUGCAACUUUCAAUAGGUUUAAAUUUAUAAUAUCAAACCUGAUUGCAGCUCGCAAAAAUUAUCCGUUGCGGCCAAGACUUUGGAUUUGCGAUGAUUUUGCCACCCUAAGUGUAGUUAGUAUUGUAUAUCAUGUGGCUCUUAUAAAAAGCCUAGAAGUUGUUUGAAUAACGGGGUAGACACAUAUCUCCCAAAGAUUUUCUCUUUUUCAAAUUAUUAUUUUUUCUCUAUUAUUGUAACUUCGAAUCCUUAUAAAUUACAGAUUGGAGACAUGAACACAAUGUUUUGACAUAGUGGACUUUUGGCUUGUCCAAAGAAAUUUAGGAUAGAUUUUUACGCACUAAGGUUCUAUUUACUAUUGAAGUUUUAGAACUUUUAAGCCACACCAGAAAUUUUUAUUGUUUUGAUAGAGUUGUAGUCUUUGAUAUGUGAUUAGUAUUAAUUAAGUGUUAUGUUUACAAUAGUUAAAGGCAUAUUGAAUCAAAAUCCACUUCUAAGGGCUUGAUUGAGUGAUUGUAAAGUAGGUUUUUAGUUUGCUAGCCACUCAAGUUCAAAUAUUGGAACCACAUAGCUUUAUAGCCAAGUGAGAGAACUUGUGCCCUAAAAAUUGAGGGGUGCAUAUCGAGUUUUACCACCAAUAAAAGUUGGUGUUAAAACUUUAAUUUCCCUCCUAUUAAUGGAUAUGGGUGAUUAGGAGUUUACAUCCCCUCCUAUUAAUAGACAGGGAUUAUUAGGAAUAUUAAAAAAAAGUUCAAAUAUUGAAAAUGUAGGUAUGGGUUAUAAAAUUCAUAAUAUAAAGACACAAAAUCAAGAUAAAGAUUUAAAAAUUUAGAACCAUGAGAGCGUGACUUGUAAGUUUCAAAGAAGCAUGUGCAAAUAUAUGCAUUAUCGAUGCCCAAUUAAGGGUGGGCAUUAAGAUCGGGUUAACCCGAACCGAACCGAAUCAAACUUAAAAUUUAUUUUGGAUUUAAUUUGGUUAUAGUUGAAGCUUUCAACUGAGUUCAAAACUUAAAAAUGAUUGGGUUGUAUUUCUGUUCGAAUUUAACUCCAGAAGACUAAUCAAUCCAAUCGAGUUAAGUAAGCAAAUUAAGAAAAAAAAUCCCAAAAAAUUAAAACUAACCCUAACUAAAAUAUUCGACCGGGGCCUCCUCGUUUUCUUUUCUUCUUCCUCCUCUCGCUCACCCCUAAUGCCCAUUCAUGGAAAUCCAACAGCUCCAAACGCGUUUCAGCCGCUCGCACGUGUGAGAAAUUUUCCUUCUCAUAGGAUUAUUCGUUUCCUUCGCUUGCAUGCCAGCAGAAUAUUCAGGCCGAGGAUUUUUCCGGGCCUAGCCCAACUAUAAGCUCUCCCAAAACCCAAUCAUAAGUUCAUAACGUUUAGCGUUUGCUAUUACUAUAAUAUUUUUUAACGAAUUUUCACAUUCAUCAACAUAGGCUGACAGAUUUUGUAGAAAAUAAAAUUAAAUAAAAAUACAAGCUCACGAAAUUCCUUUUCCGAUGUGGGAAUCUAUCUACACCUUUCACGUGCUUUUUUUUUUUUGGUGGUGGGGGAUUCCCUUGCUUUUGUUUGCAUUGCCUUAUUGGAUAAAAGUUUGUACAACAUCGUCUGUUUGGUUAAAGCCGAGCAUGAGUGAAGAAAUUUUUUUUAAAAAAAAUUUCCCAUUAAUUUGCAACAAGUAUUAAUAAAGUGCAUGAGAAAAGACACCGGGAUAUGCCUUUUUUAAAAUGAAAAUAAAUGUGUUAAUUAGUCAAUUUAAAUGGUAUGACAUUUUGAAAUGAUAGAAGUGAUCUAAAGUUUAAAUCUUACACUUAAUUUAGGGGUGGGGAUUAAUUGAUGUAAUAUAUAAUAACGAAUUCGAAAGAUAAUUAAAAAUUAAAAGAAAAUAAAAAAGUGCUUUCUUUUUUAUGAUGGUAAUUUGUUUAGAUGAUGAAAACUCUUAGAGUGGUAUUAUCAAUACAUAGUAUUUAUUUUAUUAUAUUUUUAAAUUAAUAAUAAUUAUUAAUAUUCUUAACUAUGUAAAUCACAAUUAUUUUAUUAAUUUUAAUUUAAAUUAUAUAAAUAAAAAAUUAAUAACAACAACACAAAUGAAACAUUAUUAUUGAUAAUAUAGUACAAAUUAAUUUUUUUAGAAUAAAAUAUUUAUUAUUAUUAAUUACUAAUAUUAAAUAAAUAUAAUAGUAUUAUUUUUAAAUAAGUAUAAUAAUAUUAUAUUUUCAAAUAAAAAUAGAAUAUAGUAAUAUUAUUAAUUCUUUAUGAAUAUAAUAAUAUUAUUUUUAAGUAAUUUUAACUUAGAAUCAAUAUAAAUUAUUAUUUUUAACCAAAAAAUUAAUAUUAUUUUAAAUAUGUUUAAUAUUAUUAUUUUUAAUAAAUUUAAUUUAUAAAAUAAUAAAAUAUUAUUAUUUAAAUAAAUAGGAUUUUACUUAUUUUAUUAAAUUUAAUAAAAUAAAUAUGUUUAAUAUUAUUAUUUUUAAUAAAUGUAAUUUAUAAAAUAAUAUAAUAAUAUAAUUUAAAUAAAUAUGAUAUUAUUUAUUUUAUUUUAUUAAAUAUAAGGGUAAAAAAUGAAGAGAGGCGAGUGAAUUCCCACUCCCACCUUCCUCCAUGGGAGUGGGAAUCCUACUCCCCACUCCAAAAUUAGGUGGGAUCCACACAGUGGAAUUCUCACUCCUCCUUUGAAAAUUAUAAGUAAACAUUGGAGUAAAAGUAAUCCACACUCCUCACUCUCACUCCUUAAAAUAAACACUACAUUAAAGAAGCCACUGACUCAUAAGAAAACCAUGAUUAAGUACACGACGAAACAUGUGAGCUCGUUUUUCAAUUUCUUUGAUCACUCAUAAGCUUUUCUAUACCACUCACUAUAUCAUCCUUUUAAGUCAAUUUUGACUGAUCAUAAGAGAUUAUGCACCCCACCUUGAGAUGAUUGAUCACCAAUUUGGCAUUGUAACGUUGAUCACCUCUAAUUGGCCAUGCUAAAAUUGGGACCCCAUUGCCAAUUACUUCUACAGUUAAAUUUUAUCUACAGUGAGAUAAAAAUCCACCUAUUAAUUGAUAACUUAGUAUCAAUAAUUAUGGCGCCGUUCCAUCUAUUAUCAAACCCUUUUUACCGGCUCUACUAUCUAAACCACUACGAAAAUAAGCUGGUUAAAAAUAAAAAAUCCCCAGUUACUCUGCUCAAACUCGUUAAUAUUUGUUUCCACCACCAAAGCAGCCACUCGUAUCUUUUAUUAAGCAUAAUGUUUUUAAACAAAUAUGAUGAAAACUCUUAGGGCCAGUUUGGUAAUGCUGCAGCUUUUAAAAUAAUUGCUGUUAGCUGUGCUGUAGAAAUAAUCAGCUGUGAAGAGAAUCAGUUAAGUGUUUGGUAAAUUUUAUUUUCAAAAGUACUGUGAAUUUUGAAAGCAGUUAUGGGUGUUUGGUAAAUUUUAUUGUUAAACUGCUGUAAGAAAAUAAAUGACCAAAAUGUACAUAAUGUAAGAUGAAAUUUACCUAUACAUAUAAAAAUGUUGUAAGAAAAUAAAUUUACUUGCACUAGAGAAGUUUUGAUAGAACACAAAAUAUGAAGAAAUAGGGUAAACGAAAGGUGUGCGUUAAUUAUAAUAAAAAUUUAUUAAAAUAUUGAUUUUAUUUCUAAUUUAACUAAGGAUAAUUUCGGGUUUAAGUAAUAAUUGUAAGGAUAUUUAUGAAAUUAUAUUAAAGGAUAAAAUUGAUUCUCAAAAUCAGAAUCUAAAAGUUACUAUUUCCCUGCUUUUCAAAAUCAGUUGUAGGAGGAGCUGAUUCUGGCAAAAGUGAUUUUGAUUUUCUUUUACCAAACACCAAAAUUAGCUUUUAGAUUUUUAAAAUCACUUUUAACCCUCCCAAAAGCAAUCCCAAACGGGGCCUUAGAGUGGUAUUAUCCCAUGUUUACUCCAAUGAUUUGGUAUACGCACAUGUAUUUUGGUAUACGCACAUGCACGCUAUAAAUUUAGUCAAGAAAAGUGAAUGUAUCUACAUACAAAUACUUAUCCCAUAUAACUUCAUUUCUUCAACUGAAGAAUCGGUCGUCUCUCAUUUUUUAUUUAUUAUAUAAAGAUAAAUAUAUAAAUUUAAAUGGCGAGAAGAGCGGACGAGGAAUACGAUUACUUGUUCAAAGUGGUAUUAAUCGGCGAUUCGGGAGUCGGCAAAUCGAACUUACUCUCCCGAUUUACUCGUAACGAGUUCUGUUUGGAGUCCAAAUCCACUAUUGGCGUCGAAUUCACCACCCGCACUCUUCAAGUAACUAACUUUUCCUCUUUCACUUCUCUUCAUUUUUAUUAGUUAAUUAAGAUCCAGUUAAUGUAAUUAAUUUUAUUUAAUCUUUUAAAUAAAGUUCUAGAUUAGGCUAACUUAGAUUCAUGUCAAGUUGAAGUGAUUUACUUUCGAUCUCUUUUUCGUCCUAUGUUUAUUUGUACUUACUAUUACUUUUUUUUUGGGUAUUUUCGUUUUUGAAGUGUUUACUGAAUAAAUUUCUGAGCUUUAUUUGUGUAUGCUGAUUGAUUUGUGAUUUUAAUUUGUGAUUUUUUUUUUGGCAUUUAAAUUUGAAUGCUUUUUAAUUUGAAUCUGAAUGUGUUGGGCUGCGAUUUAAUUAAGUCAUGUGUGAGCACCAAAUUGUGAUAGCUAUAUAUUGGGGUGAAAAUUUGGGAUUUAAAGCUAUGUAUUUAAGAUGCAGUUAAUUGGCAAGUGAAAAUUAUGGGCCGGCAGAUUUUGUCAUUGGAAGACUGUUCUCCACAUGUUGAAGUUAGUGAUGCAAGUUGAAACCAAUCUGUUUAAGCUUGGGGUUUCAUGUCUUGAAUCAAGGCUGUGACUUGGGGUGGGUUGAAAGUAUUAUAGCUUUAGCUAUUCCUGAAGUGAUCUGUUUAGACUCACCGUGAUGAGACCGAGUGCUGUACAGUAAAAUGAAAGGAAGUUGGAAAAUAUUUACUUAGCAUUUCGCGUUACUAAUGUUGAACUAAUAAAACCUAGCCCCUAUCCUAGUGAAUUUAUGUUAAAAAGCUAUGCACGCAUUAAGUUAGUGCGAGAGUCUGCUGAAGCAUAUGUCAGCUGUGUGUUUGGAGCUGAGUAUUCUUCAUUCCACAUUUUGGGUUUUGGUUGACCUCCAGCAUGACUCAACCCACUUGAGUUAAAAGCCCUAGAGUUACAUUCUACCCAUGAUAUUUGAGUUUAUCAAGUCACCUUAUUUUAAUACUUCUCUGGAAAACAAAUAUAUAUGUUAAAUCAGGUAGGAAAAAUAAAAAGUUAAUUAUUUUAAUACUAAGGUUUUGAAACAUUAAGAUCUUUAGCCAUUAUGUUACUAUCCCGUAGUUAUUUAAGUUACAAGAGAUAGUAAAAAAUAACAUCAUAUUUUAAUUACUUACACUAAUCCUACAAGUGCUGAUGGUCUAAAGUUGCUGCUGCUUGCACUGAAUCAGUGGUCAUGGGCCAGCCAAGGUUAGGUGAGGCCAACUCAUUAGCUUGUGAAACUUAAAGAAGUCUUAGGUUUGGAAAAGAUGGGGCACAGGUUACAAAAAUUUUUUGAGUUUUGGAUUGAAGGAACAAAAUUGUUGAUGUCUAGCUCACAAUAUUUGAAGUCACUCUGUGCUUCAUCAUGUCAAAUGGAUUGAAUUGCUGUAAGAUCAGGUCAAAUUAAAAUGUUUAAACUCAUUUUUAAGAAACGAAUUCUCAAUUGGACCAGCCUUUCACAGAAGCUGAUAUCACAGAAGCUUUGAGUCAGAUGCAUCCAACCAAAGCCCUUGGCCCAGAUGGUCUCCCAGUAGUAUUUUUCCAAAAGCUUUAGAAUUCAGUAAGCGAAGGAGUUAUAGCCACUUGUCUGCAUAUCCUCAAUGAUGGAGGUAAUAUUGCUCCUUUGAAUCAUACAUACAUUGCUUUAAUCCCCAAGAUAGCAAAACCUAGGACUCUGAUGGAGUAUAGACCAAUCAGCAUAUGUAAUGUAAUUUAUAGGAUCAUUGCAAAGACUAUAGGGAAUAGGCUGAAGCUAAUCUUAGAUCAUGUUAUUUCGCCAACUCAGAGUGCUUUUAUGCCAAAUAGGUUCAUAACUGAUAAUAUAAUUAUUGGGCAUGAGUGUCUUCAUAAGUGGACAAAGCUAUGUUCCAGAGGUGAGAUAGGAAAUUCUCCCGCACGACACAGCAGAAACAAACUUUCCCUUUCAUUUUCUUUUCUCUUUCUCGCUCUCCAAACAGAGCAAAAGGACCGUCGGAAGAUUCUUCACUUCCAUCCAAAAUCAUGAGCAACGAAUAGUGAGCCUCCCUGUUUCCUUCCUUUUUUUGAUAUUAACAUUGUUAACAUAUACUCAUUUUAAUUUGACAAUACUUCAACUUUUUUUAUUUUUUUGCCUUUUCAUUUUUUUUGUUGAAGCAAUUAUCUGUUCAAGCUGUUGCUUAUCGAAGACUCGUCCUUCGGAAAGUCCUGCCUGCUGCUCCGAUUUGCUGUCUGUUGACUUUUCCUUUCCCUUCUUAUUUUCUUUUUUUAUAUUAAUUACUUUCUAUUUUAGCUUUUUGUUCUCUGAAUUUGUGUUAUUAAAAUGAUAAUUUAGAUGACAAAUAAUUGUUAUUCUUGUAAAUUUAGGUUUUCAUUACGUUAAUUGUUAGUUUUUAGGUUUAUUAAUGUAAUUUUUUUUGUUUUUUUUUUUUCAAUUUUUCAGGAUGAUUCUUAUGUCACCGCUACAUCAGUACCAUUGGAGUUGAUUUUGUGAGUCUCUCUUCUAUAUAUAUGUAUAUAUGUGUAUAAGUUAUAAUAUGAGUCUAUGUACGUGUAUGUAUGUAUGUGCAUGUAUAUGUGGAAAGAAAUGUUGGCAGACUUCAGCAUUUUACUCUUUUUUUUUUUUUUUUUUUGGGAGAAAAUAAGAACUGUGGAGUUGGAUGGGAAGACGAUCAAACUGCAGAUUGUGAGUCAAAAUUUCCUUUUAUCUUGUAUUGAGAGAAAUUCGAUUUGUCUUAUUUAGUGAAGGUUAUGUUCAAGAACCUUGUCUUAUUUUCUUUGUUUGAAGAGUGAUAUGUUGAAAUGAGUGUAUUUGUCUUAUAAACAUCAUUUAGGUAAUGUCUUAUGUGUGAUUGUUUUGCAUCUGUUGAGUGGGACACUGCUGGACAGGAGCGAUUCAGGACUAUAACUAGCAGUUAUUACCGAGGAGCCCAUGGAAUCAUAGUAAGGAGCCUUUCCGGUUCUUGGUUUAAAUCAGAAAGUUUGUGAUUUACAUGUGACAUCUUAACAGCAUUGUAUGUGUUUAUUAACUUAUUUUUCAUCUUUCGUUAAGCAGUACAUUUUCCAAUAAAUCUGUAUACAAGAUGAUGUAGUCCAAGAAUGGGAGCGAUAAUAUGAUGCAAAUUGUCUAAUAAAUUCUUAUGACAUAUGAUGUUGUCGGAAGUAAAAGUCUUGCAAUGCUGUAUUCUCUUUUAAGAAAGAAUAAGUGGUAAUCUUAUUUUUCCAAUUUUUUAAUUGAGCAACUGUGUGAGAUUAAUUAAAUGUGUUGGGAUUUCAACAGAUUGUCUAUGAUGUAACUGAGAUGGAGAGCUUCAAUAAUGUCAAGCAGUGGUUGAAUGAGAUUGACAGAUACGCAAAUGACAGUGUAUGCAAGCUUCUAGUGGGGAACAAAUGCGAUUUAGUUGAGAACAAGGUUGUGGACACACAGACAGCCAAGGUAUAUUCGUGACUUCUGUCGCCUGAACUUUGAAUAUAAUUUUAAACUCUUCUCAAGUGCAUUUGCUUGAUAAGUUUCUGCAUACCCAGGACACUCAAACUUUGGACAGUUUGUAUCUCAAGCUGGAAUCUUUUUUGUCAAUACGACUUGUUAAAAUAAGGGUUAUUAUCGUUUGAAUCCUUCAAGAAUUGCAAUAAAUCUAAAGUCCAUAAAAAAAUAUGAUUCCAUCUUUUUACUAUUAUAUCUAGACAAAACCCAUUAUUUUACUACAUUUCAUUGGCACGGAUAGUUGACCUGUUGGCUGACUGAUAAAAUAUCAAUUUUGCACUUUAUAUUAAUUCUUUUUUGGUUAAAAAAUAACACACAAAGUAUUACAAUAUUAUAAAUUCAAAAUAUAAAGUAGUUACAAAUAAUUCCUAUUAGCCUAUGAAUAUAAUAUUUGAUACCUCUAUUUGUGUAAUUUUUUUCCAAUGGUGAAAUUGUUAUUUUUUUUUGUACUAACGGAAAUGUAGUAAAAUCAUAAGUUUUGUAAAGAUAUAGUAGUAAAAUGAUAGACUAAAAUACUUCUUGUAGUUGUUUGAUAUAUUGUAAUUCUUAAAGUAGUCAAUUGAUAAUAUCCCCUAAAAUAAAUGUUCGUAAUAUGUUCUCAUUUUAAUGCAACUGAUUGUUUAAUAAAAUUGUAUUUCUUUGUUAAUCUUUUAUCAUGUGCAUGCUCAGUGAGAAUUUGACUUACUAGAACACAAGUUUGACUCUUCAUUUAAAUGUCUCUUGUAUCAUAUCCUUUAAUGUUGAGUGUGAUUCCAAUAAAAUUGAGUAGGGAGAUCCUUAAAUACCUUUUCCUUUUUUCCAAGGGCCUGCCAAAUUGCUCUAAGUGGUUCUACCCUUUAUCAAUGAAUAAUGAAAAUAAAAUUUUUAUUAAAGCAUUUUGUUCCUUAAAUGGUGACUAAUAGUACCCCUUUUUUUUGGAGAGGAAAGCCAAACAUGCCCAAAGAGAAUCAUUUACUUUCCUCUAAUGUAUUUUCUAAUUCGUUUUGAGCCUUGAAUGUCUGUUUUGGUGCGUAUUCUCAUUCCAUGUUGAAUCUUAUCCAUAUGGACAACCCCACUUACAAAAAAGUCUAAUGAAUCUAUUGAAGUUCAUAUGAGGUUUGUGCUUUAGAUUUAGACCUCUCUCUCUCUCUCUCUCUCUCCACUUACAUGUCUUUCACUUACCUGUCUUUCACUUACCUGUUUGCAUGCAUGCCCAUGCACACACUUUCACGAUAAUACUGUAGGGGAAAAAUCAUGUUUUUAAAUUUUAUAAAACCUUUUGAAGAUCGCUCUCAUAUAAUAUAUAAGAAUUCGUAUUCUAGAAAUCGUACCUUGAAAAUCCGAGUUGGCUUUUCCACUGAAGUGAUUUAGGCUCCUAGAUCACGAUCUGCCACCACCACUCCUGUUAGAUCACGAUCCGUCAUCACCACGCUUGUUAGAUCACGAACUGUCGCCAAUGAUCUUCCAGGUUAUGACUCAGGUUCGAUCUGCACUUGACGUGUGGGCGCCUUUAUCACUGCCAAAGCAACUAGCACGAGAAAAUUUUUCUCUCAAUCAUGGAGAGAAAAAUCUUAUUCUCUGAUUUGUAUAAAGUGGCUUCUUCCUUUUUCUUUUGAGAAAAUAAGCCUUAUAUAUCUCCCUUUAGUGAAAACCCUAGGCUCCAAAUAAUGCCCUAAAUAAAACUCACGUUAUUUUCUUUUUCAAUAGGGAACCCACCUUGUAAAAUAACAUAAGGCCCCUUAUACAAAAGCUAAUUAAAUGGAGCCUCCCACUAAAUGAUAUAUUUAGGCUUUUGACCCAAAUAGCUAGUUAUCUUACUUAUUAGUCCAGUGGUGGUGCAGUCAAUUAAAUGAGCUAACCCGGGGAUCAUUUGGGAACAUACAAUAGUGGCUACAAUAAUUAGGCCUGUAAUUAAACUAGCCUAAUUAUUUAAUUCCAAAUCUACUCCACUAAAAGAUUGGAACUGACUUCCAUAAUUGUAUGCUCGAAUAAUAAUUCGUCCCAAGCCACAUUGAUUUCUUUAGUGCACAAUCCUUUGUACCACAUCGUUAAUUAAAUUGAUAUCUCAACUGUCCAAUCAAUUUAAUAACAUCUUAUUCCUUGAUCCUUACUGGUUUUCUCUAAUGAUCAUUUUCAACAUACUAAAUAUGUUGACACACUCUGGCCAGAGAAUUCUAUGAUCAAGUGCCGAAAACCCAUCAAGAGAUGUGUUGUACAAAUUCUAUAUUGUUAAUCCAUAACUCCAAUACUCAUAAUUGCUCCCACCAAGAUACCGGGUAAUCUUGACCACAAGUAUGUGUUGUGUCCAUUGGUAACUCAAAUGGAAUAACAAUUACAAUCAUGAAAUCAUAAUUAACUCAAGAUUAAGAUUACAGUAAAAUCAACGCCUAUGAGAUUUAAUAAGUCUGACAGUUAUUACAAAGUUAAUUAAAUCUCACAUGUGAUCCUGUUCAAUGUAGUCGUACUACAUCAAUAAAUUCAUACAUGAUUAAGACAAAUCAUUCAAUGAAUUUAUUACAGUCUAUACCUAAAUAAAGUGCCCAACUUUAUUUAUCAACUGCGAACUAAAUUUAUUUAAUCAUAAGAUAACUUGUAUUUAUGUCUUCUGUGAAUCCACAUGGUGAUCACAUAAAUACAUAUAAUAUGAUUAAAUGGACUUUAAUACAAAUAUUAAUGCAAUUAAGAUAUUUGAAUAAAAUACCUCAUUUAUUUUAUUAAUCAGAAAAACUGUUUAUUACAAUUAAAUAAACACAUAUGCUUUUAAAGAGCAUAUUUUCCCAACAAAUACACGGUCACUCGUACUUGUGUUUUGGUUGAAUUACUGGCUGCUAACCUCUGUAAUUCAGUUUGAAACUUGCCACCCUUAGUGCUUCACUCAAAUGGUUGGUUAGGGUGAGAUCUGUAUCGUUUUCUUGGUCUCUUUCCAAGGUUAUCUAAAGGGAUUUGGCAGUCUGAUUCUUUAGGGAAUAUCAUUGCAUAAGAUAUCUAUUGUUUGUUAAUGAAUAAUUUCUAUUUAACUAGUUAUCUAUAUAAAUUGGUAAAUUUUAACUGCAUAAUUUGCAUGCAAUAAGAUUUUAUAAGAAUCUUGUUUUCAACUCAUGACUUAGACUAAUGUGAUAUGUUGAGCAUUAAGCUACAAGAUCUGCACAUCAAAGUGCUUCACAAUGUUAAGGAGAAAGCAUCUUUUUCUGCUUCUUCAUGUGAUUUAAAGUUUCCAAGGUACUUAUCCAAUAAAAUAUCUUUCAAGACUUUGGAAAUGCUUUUAUAUAUGACUGAGAGAAACUUGUUGGGUUGGUUUUUAGCAACAGACGGAGUUAUGGACUUUGUGUUGACUUGUUAUUGAUUAAGACAGUACAUCGGCUGAUCUAUUGGCAUCAAGCAGCAGAUGCAGAAAUUAUGGGUGGCAUACCAUUGUAUCCAAAUAACAUACUACAUUGAUUUUUCUGACUUUCUGUUGGUCUCCGAGUGAAAUGCAGGCAUUUGCAGAUGAACUGGGGAUUCCUUUCCCGGAGACGAGUGCCAAAGAUGCAAUCAAUGUGGAGCAGGCUUUCUUGACCAUGGCUGGCGAGAUUAAGAAAAAGUAAAAUCACUUAACUCUUUCCUUCUUGCCGACUGUUCUUAUUUAACAAUCACUAUUAUUGCUGGUUAUAUGCAUUGUGAUGAAAAUUCUGCAAUGAGUAACUUUUUACCUAAUGUUUUCUGUUGGAACAAAUUACUCUGGUAGAAAAGCCCUACAGGGUUUGAGAAAUCCCAUGAUGUGAUGAUUGUGAGCAUUUUAGACACCGUCUAUGGGUUUAUUUUGUGACUAUAAAAUGUUAAGAUUGUUUCUAGUUUUGGUUUGUAGUGCAUAAAAGGAUUCAAAAUUUGACAUCUGUCUAAAUCAGAUUAAUAACAUGAUAAUGUACAUAUGCAAGAUGUGAGGAAUUGUUUUAUCUCACCCCUAAACUUUAAGAAAUUGAAACAGUAUUAUUCAAAAUAUUUAACAUUUCCAGAAUUGAUAGUUGUCUAUUUGAGCAGUGACUGGUGGUUAUCAUGAACUGAUGUGCGGUUGUGGUUUCAAAUCUUGGUGAAACCUGUUGUCCUAUGCUGAUUAACAUAGUUAGUCUCUGAAACAAUUUGUUGAUUCACUAAUUAUGAGUUAAAAUUUGAUGCAGAAUGGGCAACCAGCCUACUGCAAACAAAUCUUCUGGAACAGUUCAGAUGAAGCGAAUGCCAAUCCAGCAAAACAGCGACUGUUGUGGUUAGCCGAGCAUCUUAUUUUACUUCUACAUGUUAGCUGACUGAUUGUAGACAGUUUUAACUAUGUUGACUGCAUUAUCUUAUGAAUCUUUUAAUCUGUCAAAUAUUUAUUUCCUGCUUUAAGUUCUUUCCCGUUUAUAACAAAUUUAAUUUCUUGCUCCAUUGGAUUCCAAAUUCCUGUCAAUUUACGAGGGAAAAAGAAAAGAGAGACGAAAUGGGAGAAAAUGGUCAAAUUUGUUAGGCGGAGAGAGCUGUUUAAGUAGUUUUUGUUCUCGUUUAUUGUCGUGACCCUCAUGUCGCUUAUCGAUUACCUGGAAGUCCGGUCGUAUCGGAUGGGUAAAGUUACCGAAUCGGCAUCAUUUUGGGUGAAAUAUCAUAUUUAUGUGACACUUUUGAUAAUAUUUUUAUGUGUUACAGAGUAUGAUAAUAUGGUACAGCUGAGAGCAUCUGAUUAAAUGGAGCUGCUGAUGCUUACGUGUGUUGUUGAGUUAGUUAUCCAGCUCAGCAGUAAAGAUAACGAACUGGACUGCAUGCAUAUUAGAUUCAACAAACUGACAAGCUACGAGAUGCCUCUGAUCUUUUACUAUAAAUAACAAGUUGUAAUCAUCAGUCAAAUAAUAAGAAUAUGAUCAUUUUCAGAUCUGAUUCUUUAUGAUUUUCUUUCAUUUUCUUGUUAGUUUCUCUUAAACCAAACACUAUAUACAAACUCUUUCAUGGUAUCAGAGCAAACAAAUGGCAAAUUCGAAUCAAAAUUCUGGAUCCUAUAGUUUUAUUACUCCGAUAAAACUAGAUCAUAAUAACUUCAUUGUUUGGCGAACUCAGAUUCUCACAUCCAUUAAAGGAAAUGGUUUAGAAGAUUUCAUCAAUGGAAAUCAAGUCUGUCCGGAAAAAUUUUUCUCUGCUACAAGCUCUGCUGCUGGUUUCUCAUCUGGAACAGAUAAUCAAGAGAUCAAUCCAGCUUACACAAUGUGGAUAAAGACGGAUCAAUUGAUUCUGAGCUGGAUGCUCUCAUCUAUUCAACCGAAUUUGCUGACAACUGUGAUCCACUGCUCAACUGCAAAGGAACUGCUGGAUACACUUACAAGUAUGUUUGUUUCCCAGUCACAAGCUAGAAUAAUGCCUCUAAAAAUGCGAAUCCAAACUCUUAAAAAAGGCUCGAUGUCCAUAACUGAUUAUUUUGCAAAAAUGAAAAGGAUAUCUGAUAGCUUAGCUUUAGCUGGAAAACCUGUUGAAGUGAAUGAUUUCGUUCAACAUGUUUUGACUGGAUUGGAUUCUUCUGAUUAUGAGUCACUAGUUACUACUGUGUUAGCUAGAGGAGAUAAUAUCAGUCUUGAUGAGUUUUAUUCAUUGUUAUUGAGUCAUGAAAAUCGUGUGGAACAAAAGAGAGGAAAAAUUGCAAGUGAUGUUACACAUAACUUGUCAGCUAAUGUUGCUCAAAAGCAGUUCAAUCCUGGUAAAAACACUAGUGGUAAUCAGAAGUUUAACACUGGAUCGUAUGGAGGAGGUUAUAAUUCUGGAGCUGGAUCUAGUGAUGGUAACUUCUCACAAAUUGUAUGCCAGAUCUGCUUCAUUCCUGGUCAUGGUGCCAAUAAAUGCAGGAAUAUGUUUAACUCAGCUUUUGUUCCUUCAAGAAAUCAAGGAAGAGGUAGUUUUAAUGGAAAUUUUAGGCCUGGUCAGAGGCAGUAUGGUAGAGGUUUUGGCUAUGCUAAUGGAAAUAGGUCUUCUAUGGCUUAUGGAAAUUUUGGUAAUUUUGGUAGAAAUCUUAAUCCUCAAUAUGGUGCUGGAAUUGGUAACUCUCAGUUUGGUAAUUUCAACAUACCAAGAGCACCUGGUUAUCAAGGUCAUUUGAUGUAUUCAGAUCCAACUGCUUUCAAUGUUUAUCAACCAUCUAACUCUCAUGGUGGUUACUCUCCUGCUCAUGUUUUUGUUCCUACUGGAGAUUACUCUGGAUCUCCUUCAGUCCCUGUUCCAACUCAUGCACCUGAGAUGAUUGAAGAUCCAGCUUGGUACAUUGACAGUGGUGCUACUAACCACAUCACAAAUGACUCAGGUAAAUUACUGGAUCUCAAGCCAUAUGUUGGCACUGACAAAUUGCUUGUUGGGAAUGGUUCUGCAUUGCAUAUUAAACAUAUUGGAUCAGUAUUGCUAGCUACUACUGCAAAUAAACCCUUGUGUUUAAACCAUGUUCUUCAUGUUCCAAAUAUUAAGAAAAAUUUACUCAGUGUUUCAAAGCUCUUAGUAGAUAACAAUGUGACACUUGAGUUUUUUGCAAAUGUCUGUGUUGUCAAGGCCAGGAACUCAGGGAUCACUUUGCUUAGAGGAAUUGCAACAGGGGGAUUGUAUCAAGUCCAAUCUGCAACUCAAGUCUCUGAAACUAGCUCAGCCUUGUCAUGUCAACUUUCUUCCAAUAAACCUCAGUCUUUGUUUGCUUUUCAUUCUCCUUUGUCUAGUGAUAUUUCUCCUGAAAUAAGUAAGAGUACUUUGUCUCAUCAUUUGCUGUGUAAAUCAGCCUUGGCUGUCAAUACUAGCUCAGUCGAUGUCAAUGUUUUCCAUAAAAGGCUAGGACAUCCUGCCUUACACACACUCAAAUCUGUAUUGAAAGCUUGUAAUAGUUUCAAUGUACUCAAUAAAACUCCAAACUUUUGCAAUGCCUGUCAACAUGGUAAAAGUCAUCUUUUACAUUUUGGAUCUGUUCCAACAAAAACAACUGCACCAUUACAACUUAUAUAUGCUGAUUUGUGGGGACCAUCACAUGUUGCAUCCACUCAAGGCUAUAUAUACUAUCUGUCCAUUUUAGAUGAUUUUAGCAGAUUCACAUGGAUUUUUCCUUUGACUGCUAAAUCAGAUGCUCUCCAAGUCUUCACAGAAUUCAAAUCCUUUAUUGAAAAACACUUACAACAACUCAUCAAAAUAGUUCAAACAGAUUGGGGAGGGGAGUUUAGAACCUUUGCAUCAUAUCUCACUCAAUUUGGAAUUCAGUUCAGGCACCCUUGUCCACAUAUCCAUCAUCAAAAUGGAAGAAUUGAGAGAAAACAUAGACACAUAGUUGACAUUGGCCUCACUCUGUUAGCUCAAGCUAAUUUACCACUUAAGUUCUGGUGGAAUGCCUUUCAUACUGCUGUAUUCCUUAUCAACAGACUACCCACACCAACUUUGAAUAACAUUUCACCUUAUCAAAAACUUUUUCAGCAAGUACCAGAUUAUGCCUCUCUUAGGGUCUUUGGUUGUGCUUGCUUUCCUUAUCUCAGACCUUAUAACAGACACAAGCUCAGUUUUAGAUCAAACAGAUGUGUUUUCAUUGGGUAUAGCUCUUCUCAUAAAGGGUAUCAGUGUCUUCAUUCAUCUGGUCGUGUGUAUGUGUCCAAUCAUGUCAUCUUUGAUGAACAAUCCUUUCCAUAUGUAUCUGGAUCAGACUUCUCUUCCAUUGCUCAGUCUUGCAGUCCCUUAGAUAUUUCUUCAGAGUCCAAAGUUACUCUUGUUCCAAUCCCACAAGUACAAUCCCCCCUGCAAGAAUCUCCAGCAAGUGAUUACCUACCUGCUGACACUCCACAGGUAUUCUCUCCAUCUUCAACCUCCUCUUCAUCAUCUACUUCAACAUCACAUACACAUCCUAUACAUCAUACACAAUCUCCUCCUCAUAUAUUACCUGCUGCACCACCUAUAGGUCAUCCCAUGAUAACCAGAUCCAAGGCUGGUAUCUUUAAGCCUAAAUCUUUUUUAGCUGCUUUACUAGCCAUACCUUCAGAACCUACUUCUGUUUCAGCUGCUUUAUCUGAUCCAAAAUGGUUUAAGGCAAUGCAAGAAGAAUUUCAAGCACUUCAGAACAAUCAUACAUGGGAUCUGGUCUUGCCAAGUGAACCAGUUAAGGUAGUUGGAAACAAAUGGAUAUUCAAGAUAAAAUAUCAUGCUGAUGGAACCAUUUCUAGAUACAAAGCCAGGUUAGUGGCUAAGGGGUUUCAUCAGACACAAGGAGUUGAUUACACAGAAACAUUCAGUCCAGUUGUUAAAGCAUCCACAGUCAGAGUUAUUUUAAGUUUAGCAGUUCUGAAUAAAUGGGAGCUCAGACAAGUGGAUGUGAAUAAUGCUUUUUUGAAUGGCAUAUUAGUUGAAGAUGUGUACAUGGGGCAGCCAGAGGGCUUCAUUGAUCCAUCUCGACCUCUUCAUGUCUGUAAGUUGAAAAAGGCUCUCUAUGGUUUAAAACAAGCCCCCAGGGCAUGGUUUGAGAGACUGAAAGAUGCUAUGGUUGUGAAAUGGGGUUUCCAAAAUUCAAGGUCAGACAACUCCCUUUUCUACAAGUGGAUAGGUGAUCAAGUAAUUUUUGUUCUUGUCUAUGUGGAUGAUAUAAUCAUAACAGGCUCAAGUGAUAAAAUGGUGCAGCAAGUGAUCACAAAUAUGCAAAAUGCUUUUGCUUUGAAGGAUCUGGGAAAAUUGAGUUAUUUUCUUGGGAUAGAAGUUACCAAAACAGCAUCUGGAAUUUAUCUAUCUCAAUCUAAAUACAUAGCUGAUAUUCUAACCAAACACAAUAUGGCUGACUGCAGUCCAGUUCCUACUCCCAUGGCCACUGGUCAUUAUCUUACAAAGGGGUCAGGAAGUGUUAUUUCAAAUAGUUCUCAAUAUAGAAGUGCAGUUGGAGCCUUACAGUAUGUGACUCUCACUAGGCCAGAAAUAGCUUUCUCUGUAAACAAACUUAGUCAGUUUUUAGCUUCACCAACAGCAGAGCACUGGGAGGCUUGUAAGAGGCUUCUUAGAUAUUUGAAAGGAACAAUUCAUUUUGGAUUACAUUUUUAUCAUUACGGCACUAUGCAGAUAAAUUGUUUUAGUGACUCAGAUUGGGCAUGUGAUAAGGAUGAUCGCAAAUCAGUGGCUGGUCAUGCUGUUUAUCUUGGUUCAAAUUUGGUUUCUUGGUCGUCUAAGAAACAGGCAGUAGUUUCCAGAUCAAGCACUGAAGCUGAAUAUAGAGCUUUGGCUCAAGCUACAGCUGAGGUUACUUGGAUUCAGUCCUUACUGAAAGAGCUACAUAUUCAUCUUGUCACAGCCCCCAUAAUGUGGUGUGAUAAUCAAAGUGCCAUAGCUUUAGCUCACAAUCCUGUUUAUCAUGCUAAAACUAAGCAUGUUGAGCUUGAUAUUCACUUCAUCAGAGACAAAGUAACAGCUAAGCAAAUUACAUUUCAGUUCAUUCCCAGUGAAGACCAAAAUGCCGAUGUUCUUACCAAGGCAUUAACUUUUAAUCAGUUUCACUAUCUAAGAAGCAAGCUGAAUGUCCAUCCAGGUCAGUUCAGCUUGAGGGAGGAUGUUACAGAGUAUGAUAAUAUGGUACAGCUGAGAGCAUCUGAUUAAAUGGAGCUGCUGAUGCUUACGUGUGUUGUUGAGUUAGUUAUCCAGCUCAGCAGCAAAGAUAACGAACUGGACUGCAUGCAUAUUAGAUUCAACAAACUGACAAGCUACGAGAUGCCUCUGAUCUUUUACUAUAAAUAACAAGUUGUAAUCAUCAGUCAAAUAAUAAGAAUAUGAUCAUUUUCAGAUCUGAUUCUUUAUGAUUUUCUUUCAUUUUCUUGUUAGUUUCUCUUAAACCAAACACUAUAUACAAACUCUUUCAUUAUGCAAUAAAAAAAUGCUCAUGGUACCCGUUUCACAUUGUGAAGCGCAUGAUCAGAUCAGAGCAGUCUGGAUUCUGGCAUCACAAGCGGAUGCUUUGACUUGCUUAGUUUGUUUUUUGUUUCUGAUAAUUUCUCGACAUUGGGUGGGAUAUUGUUUCUCUUUUGAGUUUCUCUUUUUAUUUUUUAUCUUAUGGAAUUUGGAGAUAGUGUAAAUGUAUGAAGAUGACGUAAUCAAGUUGUUUUGAUAAAUUCCCCUGGUCGGUUUACUUCACUAACCAUUAAUGCGCAAAACCUCCUAAUGACCCUCAAAAAUCCCGUACAUAAUUAAAGAAUUUCAAUUUUAUAUGUACAAAAAUAAAUAACUCUCAAAUAUAUUAUUUGAUAAUUCUCAAAACAACAAUUCGCUCUAAUAAAUCUCGUAGGAAAUACAUAGUCUAUAUUGUAAGUCUUUUCGAGACUAAUUCAAAGAGAAAAUACGAAGGAUAUAUAAUUGACCUUUAUCUGUCAUAAAGAACUCUAAAUAAAUUCAUAUACGCAUCGCAACUAAUUACAGUUUUGAUACUUCAUUUGGUUUUUGUUAAUUUUCUAUACGGUUGUGCUGUGCAUAAAAGUUUUGUUAAAUGAAAUCGGUGAGGGUUAAUUAAUCAAUUAAUUAAGAUCCAGUUAAUGUAAUUAAUUUUAUUUGAUUUUUUUAAUUCGAGUUCUAAAUUAAUCAAUUAAUUUAGAUUCAUGUGAAAUUGAAGUGAAUUAGUUUUGAUCUGUUUUUCGUCCUAUGUUUGUCUGUGUUUACUCUUACUUUUUUUUUGUUUAAAUUUUUGUUUUCUUAUUGUUUACUGAAUAAAUUUAUGAGCUUUAUUUGAGUAUGAUGAUUGAUUUGUGAUUCUAAUCUAAAUGUGUUGGGCUGCGAUUUAAUUGAGUGAUGUGUGAGCGCCAAAUAUUCAAUAACUGAUAAAUUAUAUUUAUAAAUAUUAAUAGCGAUGGCACAUAAACAAUUAAUUCAAGAACUUGCCCAUAGUGAUUAAUUUAAAGAGUAUAAGUAACAUUGCAGUACAGUUAGCCCUUACGUGUUUAAUUAGCAAUUGAAAACUACUGUUGCUGAUGAGGUAGAACAUUAUAACACUGUUGCUGAUGAGGCAGCUGGUAAUUCUUUUGGUGAAGAUAUUAAGACUAUUAAAGCUGAAAUGUAAUUAGAGAAAUAUAAUGAUUAAAGAGGUGAGCUUUGAUAACCAUCUCUUUAACUAUAUCACUUAAAUAACUAACUUUUUAAUAUUAAAGCUGAAAUUUAAUUUCCACUAUUUUUGAUAUUUGUUUGGCUAAUGCUUUGCUUAGAUUACUUUUUGUUUUUGAGAUUUUAUUGGCUUAGUCAUGGGAUAUUGUUUUCUCUUCUAAUUUCUAUCUUUAUUGUUAUGGGAUUUGAUUGUAGUGUUCAUAUACGAAAAUUAUGUAAUCAAGUGCUUUCAAUAAAUCAUGAUCGAAUUACUAUUAAUUAAUUAAAUUAAAUUUACUCAAAUUACUCAUGUACACGAUCAAAAUAAUUUUAAUUCUAUGAUAUAUAUACACGCGCGCACACACAAACAAAAUGUAAUUAAUUUUGAAAUACAAAAUAUUUAAAAUAAUCACCGUACUAACAAUUCACAAGUUAGAUUUUAUAUGAAUAGACAGAAAUAAUGUUAAUCUAGCAAAUCCAAUCAUAAUAAAUUGAUUUUUAUUUAUAUUAAUUAUGUCGAACCAUGCUAUUUUAAUAAAGAACACUCCGGUGUUUAUAUAUCCAACAGGUAAAAUUUCAAAACAAUAUUUGCCAAAGUCCGAUGAAAAGAAUAUACACGCACACACAUAUAUAAUCAUACAACAGAAGGAUAAAUAAAAAAAAAAAUGAAGUUUCAACAACUGAAUAAUGCAAACUCAUUUUUUUUAAACAAGCAUUUUAUUGUUUAAUUAAAAAAUUCGAAAACCCAUUAGCCUUAUAUACAUGAUAAAGACUCACCGACGCCGAACCAUAUUAAUUUAACUUAGUUUUCAACUGAAAUUUAAAUUUUGAAAUCACAUACACAAACACGCCCAAUUUGAAAAAAAAAAGUAGUAAUCAUAAAAUAUUUCAAUCGUCCAUUGUUCAGUCACCAAAAACCAAUUUACGAUCUAUUUCAACGCCUAAUUUGAAAAAAGAAAAUACUAAUAAUAAAAUAUUACAGUCGUCCAUCCUUUCACAAAUAAAAAAUAUCACCAUAAACAUCGGGUAUAUGGGCUAACAAGUCCCAAUAUUGUCCUCCAUCCUUUCUGCACUUCUCUUCUAUCAACGGACACUGAUUGAUACUUAAUUGCAAAAGUGAGGAAGGCAGGCCCUUCUCCGGAAAGUAUUUGAGCUUGGGACAAUUCUGGAGUCGCAAUGAAGUGAGGUUUUGAAGAUCAACAAUUGAAGAAGAUAGGCGUUCCAGAUUUGGAAAAUUGAAAAUCUCCAGAGAUGUUAGAGAGGGAGGAAGAGGAAGCGCGGUCCCUAAUCUUUUGUCCUCUAGUGGAAAUGACACCAUGUCGUCAUCGCAUCCUUCGAUACGUAGACGUCGCAGAGAGGAGAAUCUGUGAAAUCCCCGGCCCCGCUCAAUCAUUGACUUCCAAAUCUCCAUAUUACCCCGAAUAUCAAGUGAAUGAAGGUUGGUGGGAAGGCCAUCAUCUUCUUCAAGGCUUGGAAGCGCACCUCCUAUUCUUAAUUCUUGAAGAGAGGUCAGAUUGUGCAAUCCCUUGGGUAAGGCCUCUAGUCUCUUACAAUCAGUUAUCUCCAGCCUCGUGAGUUUCGCACAAGGCAAUCCCCCUUCGGGAAAGGACACCAGAUUUCCACACCUCAUUAUCCGUAUGUCUCGAAGCUGGCGGAGAUUAUGUAAACCACUCGGUAAACUUUUCAGAUUUUCACAAUCAGGAAUGUAGAUUGUUUCAAGAGAUGAGUUGUUGUCCAACAUUUCUGCUAUUGACUCCAGCUUUGAACAUCCCCGAACUAAAAGGGACUUAAGAGACGGAGGUAGAUUGCCAACUUCAAGGGACUCAAGCGUGGCAGGUAACUCGUUUUUUGAAAAUAUACAUGUCAGAGACGAACAACUCUCAAUGUGUAAGUGCUCAAGAAGAGAUGACGUGUACCUUCUGCUGCUUCUGCUGCUGCUACACUGGAUGCCCUCUUCCACUGUCAAAGUCCUUAUAUUAUGGCAACCGCAGAUCUUCAAAUUCUUAAGGCUCGAUGGUAGCCUGACAGCAGCAAUAUAUGUCAACGAACAACAAUAGUGAAUAUUCAAGAUCUCGAGAGACGAAUUGGUGUCGCACAUCCAUGCCUCUGGUAACGAUUUCAGUGCAUCACAUGCUCCAAUAUGAAUUUUCUUCAACUUGGAAGGCAGAGCAACCUCAGGAAAGGAAACAAGGGAACUGCACUUGUAGAUUGCUAUCUCUCUCAAGGAACUGAGGCUGAACGAUGAUUGUGGCAGCUUCACAAGGCUUUCGCAAUCACUCAAUUCUAGAUAUUCAAGUCUGCAUGACAAUUCGCAGAGCUGCUGUUGUUGGUCUUUCUUUUCCUCCGCCACCAAGGAUUGAAGUUUGGGACAGCUGUCAAUCGUCAGUCUUUUGAGAGAGCAAAUGUCUUGCAGUAAUUCGUUAUGACUCUUCCAUAUAUGUGUUUCAUUUUUAAUAUUUUUUAUCUCCAAUUCUUCCAGUUUUGGUAUUCGCAGCUUCAAUGGCCCUGCGAGAAACACUUGAUUUGAUGUAUCUCUACAAACCACUGAAUUCUGUGAGCCGAGAUGAUCAAUUGCACUUCUCCACACAACCUUUUUACAUCCAUCAAUCUCUAAUUUGCAAAGAGCUGGAAGACUCGUAACUGAAACUGACAAUUCUUCACAUCCUCGAAUAACAAGCAUCUCCAAUGCAGGAAGGCAUUCUGGCAAUGUUCCUUGCAGUUUAGAACAUCUUAAAAUGCUAAGCUCUCUCAAUUUAGGAAACCCUUCAACUCCCUGACCAGAUCUAAGAGGAAUCCAGUCUUCCCAUUCUCGCAGGUCUUCAAAAUGAAGAGUCUCCAAGCAUGGAAAAGGAAUCCGAGAAUCAUUCCCAUAGAACUCUGAACCCAAACUCUUUACUCUACUCAUUCCACCCACUUCAAGAUGCUUUAGAGAGGGUAGUUGCCCGACUGACGGCAGGGUAGUACACACGCCACAAUCUUCAAAUUUAAGUGUUACUAAAUUUGACAAUGAGGAAUCUCCUAACCAUGUUGGAAAUUUUGUACCUCCAUAGCCACAGACACAAAAUUGUUCCAGAUUUUCAUGGGGUUUGAGCAUGUCAAGCACGCCCAUUUCAGUUUCUGCCUCCCUUGAAGAUGAACCAUCGGUGCUGCAAGUCCAAUUAAGCGAUAAUUCUCUAAGAUUCUCCUUUACAUCCAACCGAGCCUCCUUUGCAUCACCAAUGUCUUUUACAUUCCCUAAAUUUGAAAUUUUAAGUGUCCCCUGAAGAUGUAUCAAUGACUUUAGCUCUCGUAACCCAGAACCAUUGUCUUUUCCCACAGCAAAAUUACUCAAAGUCUGAAGACAAGUCAGCUUACCAAUUCCUACUGGCAUUUCCUCCAACGAAUCUGUAUUUGAAUUAUUGAGAUGAUGCAAUUUGAUGAGGUUUCCCAUGGCUGCACACAACUUCUUCAGUCGCCGACAGUCUUCCAACAGAAGGGUGUGCAAAUUGUAAAGCUUGCUGACUGAUUCAGGCAGAGUUUUAAUCUCAGUUCCAGACAGGUUAAGGUGCCUUAAAUACCUCAAAUCACCAACUGAAUCCGGCAGCUCGGAGAUGUGAUAUCCACGCAAAGAGAAGACCCUCAACCGUUGGAGUUUGAACAACUUAGGAAGAAUGCUACGAGCCAAGUAUCCACGCGAACUCUUUGUCAACAUUACUGGUAAAAAAGUUCGCAAAUGUUGGAUAUCGUACAAGCCCUCAAACCUUUGAACGCCAUCACAAAAUCCGCGAAUGUAUGACAGGUGACGAAUAUUUUUGGAAAAACUUUGUUGCUUGUUAACCUCUGAGGUAUACUCCAUUGUGAAGUAUAUCUCCCCCGCAGCCCAUUGAGCAAGGUCGUUGACAAGGUCGUGCAUCACAAAUCGUGAUUUAUUGUUGCUUGAUUGCUGGAAAAAAGAUCUUGAACGUAGCUCUUGAAAGAACUUUCGACCUAGAUCUUCAAUAGGAUUCCCACUCUCUUUGUGAUCCAAGAAACCCGAAGCACACCAUAAUAAAAUUAUCUCCUCCUCUUCAAAUUCAUAAUCCUUUGGAAACAAUGAGCAGUAUUCAAAGCAUUGUUUCAAAGGUGCCGCAAGAUAAUAGUAGCUCACUCUAAGCGCCGGUAUAAUGUCACAUCUCUCUUCGGGUAAAUCCCAUAUCUUGCAACUGAGCACACCUUCCCAAUCACUCCGGUCAAGUUUACCACGUAAGAGACCACCAAGAGUUUUCGCAGCUAAGGGCAAGCCGUUGCAUUUGAUCACUAUCUUCUUGCCAAUUUCCUCCAAUGACUUGUUUGAACUGAAAUCUCUUGUCCCCAAAGAGUGUUGAGCGAACACAGACAGACAAUCAUCAUUUGACAGCUUUUUCAAUUGAUAAGCCGGAGCAGUCCCCAUGAUGGCUGCAACCCCUUGAUUACGAGCUGUGACAAUAAUCUUACUUCCCGGUGCGCCAGCUUCAAAUGGAGGUCUGAGUCGAUCCCAAUCAUUGUAAUUCUCAUUCCAAACGUCAUCUAAAACAAGCAAAAAUUUCUUUUGAGAUAACUUCUUCUUCAGCUCCUCUUGAAGCUUAUUCAAGUCGUGAUUAUCCACAUUCUGGUCACUAGCAAUUGAAAGUAGGAUUGAUUUUGUAAGCCUGAUAACAUCAAAAUCAUCAGAGACGCAAGUCCAUGCCUUGAGAUCAAAAUGAUCCUGCACUUGCUUAUCAUUGUAGACAAGCUGAGCGAGAGUGGUUUUGCCCAGCCCGCCCAUACCAAUGAUAGGAAUAACAGAGAAUUCACCAUCAUUUCUCAAAUCAUCCCUCAACAACAAUUCAACAAUUUCCUUCUUUUCUGUUUCCCUCCCAUAUACCUUGGCUUCAUUCACCAAAGAGGUUGUGGGUAGUCUUUGCCUAUCUUUUUUGGACCUCCCAACUGAACUUACGUUCAAACCCAGCGAGUCUUUCUGUGUUACAAUAUCUUGAAAUCUGUCGUUGAUCUCUUUGAUUUUGGACAUUAUGGCGUAAUCGAACUGAAUCGAUUGUGGAGUAAAAGUGGUGCAGCAGGUAGGAAUGAGCUUCCGAAACUUACUUGUUCUUGUACGACUGCUACUGGGUUGAUCAAGAGCAGCAGCUGGAUCUCGAUUUCCAAGCAGCAACUUCCUCCGGAAAGCCUCAGUUUGAAACUCAUCCAGCAAGUCUUCAACAUCAAAAGCCAAGUUCUGAAGCUCGCCAAGCCACAACUUCACAGACUGAUCAGUCUUCUUCUCCUCAGCAUCAGCAAGCACCGCCUUGAUCAUCACCAACAUAUUCUUCCACUUCUUUAGGUCGGCUUGGAUUUGCUCUUGGCGUGCAAACAGCCGAAUACCCUCUGAAGCUAACUUAUUGACCAGCAAAUCAACGGACGCCGUAAGGAUUGCCUCUCCGAUGAAUGACAUUUUUUUUCUUUUUCUUUUUUUUUUUGGUUUUGCAAAGAAAGAAAGGAGCAGAAUUAUGGGUUAUGGAAAGCAGAAUGAGAAAAUGGAACAGGUGAGAAAAUGGAUAAUUAAUCAGAACGAGUUUGUGAUUGUGAAGGGUCUGGCCCAGCAAGCUUAGUAGAAAUCACGCGUUUAUACUUUAUUGACCAAUGACUAAUAAUUUGGCAAUUCACUCAUCACCAUUCACCGCCACUUGGUAAGCAAAAUGAAAAUGCUUGGUAAUUAAGUGUGGUCAAGCAAAAUACGACGUAAAAUGUGUCAAGGGUCUCCCCACUUGUUGUUCCUUGCAGCUUAGAAAAGAAAAACAGAGCCCACCACCCAUUAAUAAUUUAGCAAUUCACCAAUCAUCACCACUUGUUACGAAACCAUCUCAUAAACCAAGUUCGUAGGUCGAGCGGUUAAUCCAGUGUCUAUUUCCUAGAACCUUCAUCUCAUAAACCAAGUUCAAUCAAAACGUUCCUCUCUCUAUUUUUUUUUUUUUAAAAAACUCCUAAAACGUUUCUUUUUAGAAAUAUUUUACUUUAUUCAACUAAUAUGAUAUCUAACAAAUAGACACAAUUGAAUCACUCUAAAGUGAAGAUGAAAGGGGAAAAAAAUAACCUUCCAACUACCAGUAAUUUAGCAAGCUUCACUUUAUUCCACCAAAGUGUAAAUAAAGCCAGCCCCCACCACCAUCAAUAAUUUUGCAAGCUUCACACGCUUGUUGUCUUCUCCUUGACGAACUGGACAUGAGUGGACCAAGAACCAAUGACAGAAUUUUAAAAAUAAUAAUAAGAGAAAAACCUACACAUUUUCGACUUAGAGUAGAACCAUAAUUAAUGCUAAAAUCUACUCAGCUAACAUUUUCAAAAUAUUGUUCUUUAUGAUUUUCAAAACCUUGAUUAAGGUUCAUCUCAAAUGUUUGAAGAGAGUCUAUCAAUUCUUCUAUGCUAAAAAUAUCAAAAUUCUUACUUUUUCUUCAAACAUUGAAUAAUAAAAAAAAAAGUUGAAUAUGGAGGAAAGUAGAAUGCAUCCAUCUUCGCUGUAGAAGUCUUCUACUUAUUAAAGCAAGUUAGAAUAAAAGAUUUUAAUCUCUCUUUUUAUUCCUGUAAGUGCACUACAUUUUUUUUUAAUCUCAAUGCGAAGUCGUAUCAUAAUGUUAUAUUCCUAUUGUAAAACAAAAUUUUAGAUAAAACAAAUUCGACUCAUUUUUUAAAGGUAUAUAUUUAGUAGGUUACUAACAAAACUAACAAAACGUGAUUAUUACACUAAAUGAAAUAAAAGACAGUACUAUCACCAAUAAUUUAGCAAGUUUCGCAUGCAUGUGUUUCUAAAAACAUUAUAUGGAAUCAAACAACAGUGAUACAAAGAGAAAAGUGGAAAUCCUCUGAUUGUAUUUUUCUUUUUCUUUUUCAAAAGAAAUGGUGGGGUUGGUUUGUUUGCAAAGUUAUUAGCGUGGGUCUAUUUGUUUUUGUUUUAACUUUAUUAAUCAAUAAGCAAACGUGUAAUGAUUUGUAUAUAUCACUAGCAUCACAUUAUUGGGAGGUAUUGCGCUUAGUAUUCACAAUUUUUAUAAGAUGAAUUUGUAAGACUAAUUAAUUUUGAUGAAAAUGUAUUGUUACUAAGAUAUUAUUUAAUUCAUUAAGUUAACUUGAGGUAUUAAUAUUCACUAAUUGUGGUGCUGAUUAAUUUACUUAACUUGUCACCAUUUGCAAUUAAGAAUGAAGUUCAAUCAAUUUAUUGAGAAAAAAAAAUAAAGAUACCUUUUUUUCUUUAGAUUUUAAUUCUUAGGAUUUGAUUUCACGCUCUUUUAUUUUUUUACGUUGCUAAAGAGGCAGUAAAAAACUUGCUGAAUGUCAUCAAAUACUUUUAUCUCAUCUCACAAAUUGGUAAUAUUUGUUUGGUAUUUCAUCUCAACAGACGCAGUAAGGAUUACCUCUCCAAUGACUGACAUUUUUUUUUUUUUUUGGGGCAAAGAAAGAAACAGAAUUUUGAGUUUCGAAAAGCAAACUAAGAAAAUUGAGCAGCAAGUGUGAAGGGCAAGCAAAAUGCAUGUAGCAAGUCUUCCACUUGUUGUUUAUUCCAGUAAAGUGAAAAUAAAAACAGAGCCCACCACCCAUUAAUAAUUGAGCAAUUCACCAAUCACCAGUCACCACCACCCGUUACCGUAGGAUAAAAUUUUAUUUAAUUUAUUUUUUCACUGUAUUUUAUCUUAAAAAAUUAUUUACAGUAUGAUAAAAUUUUAUUUAAUUUAUUUUUUCAUUGUAUUGUAUCUUAAUUAAUUAAGUUGUUAUAUUUAUUGCAAAAAAUUUAUUUUGGCUUAGAGGAUUACUUCUUAAAUUCAGAUUAUUUUAAUGAUAAUAAAAGAUAUUUAUUUUGUGGAAGCAAAAUAAAUUGAAGAGAGAAAGAAAAUAUAAAUGACUUAACUCUAUUUAUAUUUGUCCUUAAAUAUAAUUGUAGUAUAAUAGGGGUUUUAUAAGAUUAAUGAAGGGGUGCCAAUAGUCCUACUCUUAUAGAAAAUGGCAAUAAAAAUAGUGGAAAUUUAGUGUAAUAAAAAGGAUAAACCAUAAGAAAUUAAUGUUUACAUCAAGAUACGUUAUAAAUAUUGUUUUUCUUAAGAUGUUAUUUGCCUCCACCAAUCGAAUAAUACACAUGAAUUAAACAAAUAUGACUCCAUGAUACAAUAAAGCGCUUAUUUAUUUGUUUAAGUUAUAUGUCGACGAAGCAAAUUUGAAUACUUUUGAAUGUUGUAAGCAUGUCAAGAAUCAAUAUAUUAUUUCUACAAAAAGAAACAAUAUAUUAGAUAUUUAAAGCAUAAAAAAUAGAUGUUAAUUGAUUAAAUUUGAUUUAGGAAAGAAGGCUACGAAAAGAGUGGUGUAAGGUCAUUUUAUUCAUGUCUACAUAGCCCUAUUAUUUGGGUUGUCAUUUUUUUAUAAUACUCCUUCAUGGCCAUUAGAUCAAACACUCAAAUCCCUACUAUAGCUAAUUAGCUUAUUGACCAGUAACUUACAGGAUGCCAUAAGGAUUACAUCUAUGAUGAUUGACCUUUUUUUUUUUUGGGUGGGGGUAGGGGGGAAGAAACCGAAUUAUGAGUUUAUGGAAAUUAGAGCAAAUAAGAAAGUGAAUUACAACAGAAUGAGUUUGUGAUUGUGAUAGGUCGAACAAGUCUAGAAAUCAAUUAGGCAAAAACCACCACGAAAGUUAAAAAGGAAAAAUAGCGCCCACCACAAAUAUAAAAUUGGAGGAGCUUAGGAUCAUGCCUUUGCUUUACAAAUUAAAUUAAAUAAAAGCCAAACCAAGAACCUUGCUUUUGCUUAACAUGAUUAAUUAGGCACUAUUUCAGAAAGAACACAAAAAUAAUAAACCCUUUUAUUGAUCUUAAAUGUCAAGAAUAAAGUAACAUUUUCUCCUCUUACCGUUUCUUCAGGUUCAUUUCAAAAGUUUGAAGAGAGUUUAUCCAUUCUUCUAAACUAAGAAAAAGAAAAUCAACAUUAUUGCUUUCUUCUAUUCUUGCUUUCUUCAGAUGUUGAAUAAAAAAAAAUAUAUUGUUAAAUAUGUAGGAAAAAAACAAACAAAGUGAGUUAAACAAAUAAAACCUAGGUAAAUUAACUGACGCAACACUGGAAAUCACAACUGAAAAUAUAGGAGGGAAAAGAAAAAUCGAAACAGAAAAUGAAACCCGAGGCCUGCACAGGACAAUUUCCUUAAAACAAAUUUACCACCUACUGAAGUGCUUUAGGUCUGCUGGUAACUGUUUCUCAGGAUACAACGAGCACGAAUUUUCGGUCAAUCACAUACAGGUAAUGUCGGCGAACUACAACAGUGGCAAACUCAAUAAGAAAAAACAAAUGAAAGAAGGAGGAAAGGAAAAUUUUCAAGUGCUCUGUGUGCUGGUUUCAGUGUGUAUAAAAAACAGAAGAGGAUGUGCUUUUUUAUACUCAUGUGAGGAUAUAACAGCAGCAUUGUAUUGAAUUUCGGAAUUCAAUAUAUGCCAUUAAAUAGUUAUAACAGCCAAUUCAAUUCCAUCAACUGAUUUCAAAAUUGAAUUCAAAACCAGUUAAAAAAUAAUUGUUGUGAAGUUGUUACAACAAAAAAUUCAAAGGAAAUUAAAAAUGUGCUAUGCAAGCUUGGAUGAUUUUGGACUGACAUUCGCGUACGCAGGACGCACACGAGUUUAACCAAAUCGGUCUUGGAUUUGCACCCCCUACGCACGCGCGUGUAGAGAGAGUCUCUAUCCUUAUAAUUAUUACUCAUGCAUGGUUAAAUGUUUAUAUAUAAACACUAAUCCUUGGGCUUCUUUUUCUCAUGUGGGAAAAGUUUCAUUUGCUUUCAAAUUUCCAACUUCAAUAGUGAACUUUGAGAGACAAUUUCUCAUUCACCCAAGCACUAUUUUGAGAAAAUAAAAUUAUAUUUUUGAAGUAUUAACAUAAUAGAAUCCAAACCUCACAAGAUUUCUCACUUUCGCUAAGUGAGACCCACUCAAAAUGUGCCCUCAAAAUAUCAUAUAGACAUGCUAUUUUUUCAACAAAAUAAGGAGGAAAUUAGAAUGUAUCUACCUUUGCUAACCUAAAAUAAAAGAAAUUAAUCUCUCUUUUAUUACUAAAGUACACUAUUUUUUUAAUAAUUGUAUUGACAAUGACAACAUGUAUCAUCGAUUAUAUUCUUGUUGUGUUGAAAUAAGAUAUAAAAAAUCUUGGAUCAAGAGGAAUUCGACUCAUUUGUUAAAGGUACAUAUUUUAUAUACUAAAAACAAAAAUUAACAUAACACGAUUAUUACACUAAAGUGAAAUGAAAGCCAGUACCCACCAGUUCACCAACAGUAAUUUAGCAAACUUUGCAUUCUCGUGUUUGAGGAAAUGGACAUUGGUGAAUUAACCAAAGGACCAAUGAAAGAAUUGUAAAUAACAAAAUGGAGAUUACACUUUUUUUCCAUAUAAUUGUUCAGGCAAUGAAACUAAUUUUGAGACAUUUUCAAAUAAACUUAUUUUCAAAAGCAAUACAAAAUGAUUUCGUUUUAUUUUGAAACAUUUCAUGGAAUCAAGUAGUAGUAAAAUAAAUAGAAAAGUGGUAAUUCCCUCAUUUUAUUAUUUUCUUUUUUAAAAGGAGAUGAUGGGGUUGGGUUGUUCACAAAAUUAUUGGUGCGGGGUCUGUUUGUUUUUGUUUUAACUUUAUUAAUUAAUUAGCGAAGCAAACAUGUAAUGAUUUGUAAAAGGAUUACUAGCAUCAGAUUAUUGGGAGGCAUUAUGGAGAAGUCACGCUUAGUAUUUACAAUUCAUGUAAGAUAAAUUUGUAGAUUUAUUAAGUUACUUGAGAUAUAUUUAUUAAUUGUGGAGAUUAAUUUAUUUAACUUGUCAUGAUUUUCAAUUAAGAAUGAAGUUCAGUCAAUUUAUGGAAAGAAGGAUAAUUUUGUUUUCAGAUUUUUAAUUCUUAGGAUUUGAUUUCACUUUGUUUCGAUUGUCGAUGUUGCUGAAGAGGCAGUGAAAGUUUGCUGAAUGCCAUCAAAUGCUUGCAUCUUAUCUCACAAAAUGUCAAUAUCAGUCUGUUUCCCUAUAGGCGCAACCAUCACGAAUUUAAAGUAACAACAUGAUGAGCAUAUAACAUAUACAUAUUUUACCAUUAAUUAUAUAAUUGUUAGUUAUUUUUAUUUAUUAUUUUUAAUUAAUUAAAUUAUUUUAUUAAAUAAGAAAUUAAUUGGAGAUUAUGGAUAAAAAGGACAUGAAAAAGUUUAAUUUGGGAAGCAAUAAAAAUUAAAUUGAAAGACAAAAAUACAGACAAGGAUUAAUAGAAUCCGUGCCGAAAAAAUCAAAGCACAAUGUUUUUCUUAAUGUCAUUAUUUAGGCAAGUGUUUUGAUGCACUGGAAGUUUAAGAGAAUAAAAUCUGAAGAAUUUAUUAAGAGAAUCAAAUAGAAAGUUUUGAUGCAGCGAAAAAAAUCUGAAGUUUGAAUUUUGCUCAUAUAGAUAGUAAGAGAAUCAAAUUAUUGUUAAAUUAAAUUAAUGAAAAAAAUUAUCUGAUAUCUAAAACAGCAUAUCAACAAAAUUGAAUUAAAAGAAAAUUGAAGAGAAAAACCAUUGAGAAAUUUCGAUAACUUCACUUAUUAAAACUUGGUUAUUUCAUUUUCAUUGAUAAUCAUUUUGACACCGGUCAAAUUUAAAAGUUUAAAUAAUGGGGGCGAUAUUUCUUUCCAGCUAUGCCCAUCGACUAAUUAAAAUACUGCCGAAACAAUUCAGGGAUAGUAUAGUAAUUUCAUUUAACAGUUUUCGUGCUUCAAAUCAUCAAAUCAAACUCACGGUUUCCGACUUGUAAUGGGUGCAACUCAUGUUUUUCAAACAUUAAUGUGUUUCAAACAUUAAGAUCUUUAGCCAUUCUGUUACUAUCCCGUGGUUAUUUAAGUUACAAGAGACAGUAAAAAAUAUCAUCAUAUUUUAACGUCCCUCGAAUAUUUGAAGAAGUUAAAAUUUAGGCGGUUUUAUAUAAGAUGUAAUAUAAAUUGAUAUCAGUAAUUAUAUGAUUGUAAAUAUCAUGAUCAAUAGUCUCUUAUAAAAAAAAAAAAAGAACAAGUGUCAUGAGCCCAUUUAGAUUAACUUAUAUUUGAGGGGGAAAUCUUUGUACACCAUGGUAUAUAUUAUAUAUAUAGACAUUGAUGAAUUCGCACAGUACAACUAAGUAUUUUUUUUUUUUGAAUACUGGUUACACACCAGAUUACUGGCAAUUGCUAUUAUAGCAGACAUUACACUGAUAUUUACAAUCAAAUAUACAUAAUUGAGACUUAUAUUAUUACAUUAAAUUCUAUGAAGUACAUUUCCAAACAAAUAACCCUUAUAGAGCAGAGAUGUCCUUGCUCCACUCGCAUUUCGCAGGGAGAAGAACUUAUAAAAAUUUAGCCCCCACAAUACUUUUGUGGAGGGUUGAACCGCUGCUCUCACGCUUGUGAGGGCAGCAGUCCAACCCGCAGACCAAGGGCCCAAUGGCGUACAACUAAGUAAUUGCAUGCGCCAUUUGUGCCAAUGUGUAUAUAAAUAUAUAUAUAUAUAUAUACACCCUGCUUGCAUUGCAUUAACUACGUCCCUAGUCACCCACGUCCGCUACUUGUAUGAAUGUGCAUAUAAAUAUACAUAUCCGCAGUGUUAGGAAUUUAGAUCUAUUAGAAAUAGAUAUAGGUAAUUAAAAAACCAAAAAUUAAGAACUUCAUUUUUUUUGGAAGUACUAUUCACGGUUACUGUUCACGACUACUGUUCAUCAUCAUAAAAAAUAUUAAUUUUCAAAAACAUAAUAAAAUGCAGAAAAUAAAUGACACAGAGAUUUUUACGUGGUUCGAAUUAACCAAUCAUACAUCCAUGAGGCCACGCCCAGAUGAAAAGCAAUUCAUUAAGUUGAGAUGUUACAACCUAUGGAUUUACCAAACUUAAGACUCUCAUUUACAGUUUAUCACCAUACAGUUUACUCAACCUUAGAAUGAAUCUGCUUCUCUUGAAUAAUCACUACCCCUCUUGAUCCGCGAUCUUCAAGGCACUUCGCAAAGUGAUCAAUAGCAAUUCUUCAAUUCUUCAAUGUCUAGUGAUACAAGAUACACAUAGACUCUCCAUAGAGAUUAACAGAAGAUGAGAAAAAAAAUCAACACAACAUGAUGCGCCAGAUCCGGAUUCUUUGGGGAGGAGGCCGAAUCUUACUUCUCUGCUUUAUGCUCUGCGUUAUAUGAUCUUCAAUUGUGAAAUACCUCUCUUUAUAUAGGCACUAGAGUUUUACCAAAAUAGCAAGUCUUAAAAGACUUGGAUUCUUUCCAAAUAAGAGUUGCAUUCCUCUUAUAAUUCCCAUGAAUCUGAAUAGGAAUAAAUCUAACCUUCUUACCUUGCUUGUCUCCUAAGAAAUAUUUAGAGCAUUUAAUGAACUCUCUGUUUGAACCAACUUCUUGCUCUAAAUAGAUCUCAUGCGCUAAAUAUAAAAUCUCACCAUUAAUUAACUUGCUAAAUUAAACAUCUAAUUAAAUUAAGAAACAAAUAUUCCUAAUACUAAAUUAGUGAAUUAAUAAAUUAAUCCAUAUUACAAUAUAUGCAAUAAAUAAAUUUUCAAUUUAACUAGACUUGCCAUAAAAUAUCAACUUUAUAAAUAUUGGACUUAACACGCAGCAUAUUAUCAAACCAGAAUCAGAAGCAACUUAAGUUUUGAUUACGGUUCACCGGAAGUCACAGCUAGCAAGUGAUCCUUGCAUCAUUUUACUAAAUAUACAAUGAAAUUAACCCCCGCAAUUUCGGCCUUUGCCAUAGUCGUUUUGUUUAUUAGGUUUAUGUUUAUCAACAUGAUUGUCAACCAUAAUCACAAUCAAGUUGUUAAUUAUUUUUAAAUAAUGUGAAGGAACAAGAUUUUGGUCUUUGAAUGUGGAGUUAGAAAUAUCUCACCUCAAUAUACGGUAUUGUGCUCUCAUCAUCUUAACAUUAUUUGUUAAAAAUUAUGUCAAAGAGGAAAGCAGAUUCAAACAUUACUUCAAUUUUCUUUAAGAGCAUCAAAAAAUCGUUAAUAGGCUACUGUUAUUUGAUAGUACGAUUUCACAAAAGGAAGCUGGAGGAAGAUGAAGCUUUCAAGUCAUGUGUGCAUCAAAGUAAGAAACAGAGCUAACGAGAGAUGGACAAGUAUUAACCACUGUUAUCAGAAAUUAAAUAUAUCAGCAUUUUGUUAUAUCAGCAGAGACGCGUGUACGUAUUGCUUGUGACAAAUCUCACCCAUGGAGAACUUUGUGGACGGCAUUUGAAUGUGUGGCCUCAUUUAAUGAACGAAACGAUAACUUUAAAAGAAAGUAUGUACUGUGUUAAUUAUUAGGCUUUAGCUUAAUGAUUGCAAUUAGUUUGUCUUGUAAUUAAAUUAUUGCCGACAAACACUAUCACGACCGACGUCCACUACUUGCGUGAAUGUGUGUAUAAAUAUCCACAGCAUAUUAUCAAACCUGAAGCGUGAUCAUCUUUAAGUUUUGGUUACGGUUUAUCAGACGUUAGAAAAUAUCUUUUCUAAUUUGAAGAAGAUGGAAACUCCUUAUCCAGGUUCUUAGGUCAUGUUCAGUUGAAUGUUAUUUAUAAUUUUUAUUUUAACAUUAUGUAUUUAUAAAUAUAAUUAUUAUUAUGAUUUUUUCAGGUAAGAAUGGAUGGUCUGAAAGUAACCCAAUAAUUAUGUACAAUAUUAUUAAUGAUGCGAGCGUGAAUAAAAAUUUGGAUUUUAUUCUCGUCCCUCAAUACGGAAGAAAUCUUGACCAUAGAGGCUAAGUGUUAUGUAACUCUUUCGUAUGUAUUAUGUUUAAUUAAUAAUAAAAUGAUGGGUUAUUAUUAUGUCAAUUAUGUGAGUGUCUUUGUUUGGUUUAGUUCAACUUAUAAAAUCUCUUGAGAUAUUUUCUUUAUUUAAUUUUGUGUACCGUGUCUUCUUGUAAAAAGAAAUUAAUAAAAAAAAUAUCAUUGUGUAUAAUGUAUUAACUAAGUUAGUGUAUUCAUGUUAGGUUAAUUGUGCUCUCUCUUCUUCAUAUUUUUUUUUUUUAAAAAAAAACUCCACAUAUUGUUGGUUAGCUAAUUCUUGCAGCUAGCAAGUGAUCAUUUUCUUUCCCCUACUGCCGUAGCAUCAAAUCCUUGCAAUUACAUAUCAAGUGGUAUUCGAGCCGUCAAAUGAUCCAUGGAAACAAGCAACAAAUCAAAUGGUGAAUUUUGCGAAGAGAUUCACGAAAUCCUUGCUAUACAUGAGUCUAGUUUUGACCCAGUUCACAUCACCCAUCAGCUGCGGGUUUGAAUGGUACCUAGUGGAUAUUUUGUGAGUCCCCACGUAUAAAAUCACACUUGCAACAAAACCUAAAAACUUAAAUUACGUAAUUCAAAUUAUAAAUUUAUAAUCAUAGCCUAAAAAACCACACAAAAUACUUAAUUCUAGAUUUUAUCAAUGUAAAUGAAAAAUGAAAGUUUUAAUAUUAAAAUAAACUCACAAAAUAUAUCAAUUUAACACAAAUUUUCAAAGUUAAUUACUAAAUACAUAAGUCUAUCGCAACUCAAAGUGCUUUCAAUUGAAAACGAAAAAAGAGAAAGAGAAUAAAAAAUAAAGAACUACAAAUCAAAGUAGCAGCCAUGUCUCAUUUUGCAGUCUCAUUCAAUACCACUAGCACCCAUCCAACACGAUUUUUCUAAACAAAGUAUCAAGUACAAAAUUACAAUAAGCAUAUCAUACUCCAUGCUUUAAGUUAAAGAUCCUUAUAUAUUUUUAUGAAUAAUUUUUUAAUGAAAUUUUAUGAUUAAAAUUAAAAAUACAAACAUUCAAAUAAGAAUGUCGGACACUUGCACAACUAUUUACCAAAUUUUUUCUCUAUAAAAAUCGACCUGCAACUUUCAAUAGGUUUAAAUUUUAUAAUACCAAACCUGAUUGCAGCUCGCAAAAAUUAUCCGUUGCGGCCAAGACUUUGGAUUUGCGAUGAUUUUGCCACCCUAAGUGUAGUUAGUAUUGUAUAUCAUGUGGCUCUUAUAAAAAGCUUAGAAGUUGUUUGAAUAACGGGGGAGACACAUAUCUCCCAAAGAUUUUCUCUUUUUCAAAUUAUUAUUUUUUCUCUAUUAUUGUAACUUCGAAUCCUUAUAAAUUACAGAUUGGAAACAUGAACACAAUGUUUUGACAUAGUAGACUUUUGGCUUGUCCAGAGAAAUUUAGGAUAGAUUUUUACGCACUAAGGUGGCGUUUGUUUUUUUGUCUGAAAUCUGAAUAGACUUGAAUUAGUCUGAAUUCUGAACAGGUCUGAAUGUUUGAAUCUGAAUAAUAUGUUUGUUUUUUCAUCUGAAUCUUGAAAAAUAAGUAUUAAGUUGUUUGUUUUUUUCAACUUAAAAAGCUAAAAAUAUGUACUUUUACAUUUGUAUCCUUAUUAAAUUUAAAUGUCAAAUAAAUAAUAUAUUAAAUACCACAAUAUUUUAACAUUUAUAAGUAAAACUAUAUUCAAGUGAAUACAUAAUUAUUUUAAAAUUUUAAUAUAUAAAAUACCAUAAAUUUCAAAUUUUAUCGUAUAUAAUAUAAGAAAGAAAAAACAGGGAUAUUUUUAUGUGGGGUAAAUAUCUAUGGGUGAGUUUUGGGAUAGACAUGAAAAAUAAAUUAUAAAACAGGGAUAUUUUUGACAUUAGCAAGUAAUUGACUUAAUUCAGAUUUCUCCAUUAAGUAAAAAGCUAAAAAAAAUUAGCUUAUUUUAUUAAGUCAAAAUUAUCUAAAAAGUCUCAUUAAGUUAUAAAAACAAACACCUCUAAUUAACUUAAUUAAUUAAGUUAAGUCACUUUAAGUCAUUAAGUUAAAAAACAAACGCCACCUAAGACUCUAUUUACUUUUGAGGUUUUAGAACUUUUAAGCAACACUAGAAAUUUGUAUUGUUUUGAUAGAGUUGUAGUCUUUGAUAUGUGAUUGGUAUUAAUCAAGUGUUAUGUUUACAAUAGUUAAAACACAUAUUGAAUCAAAAUCCACUUCUAAGGGCUUGAUUGAGUGAUUGUAAAGUAGGUUUUUAGUUUGCUAGCCACUCAAGUUCAAAUAUUGGAACCACAUCGCUUUAUAGCCAAGUGAGAGAACUUGUGCCCUAAAAAUUGAGGGGUGCAUAUCGAGUUUUACCACCAAUAAAAGUUGGUGUUAAAACUUUAAUUUCUCUCCUAUUGUGGAUAGGGGUAAUUAGGAGUUUACAUCCCCUCCUAUUAAUAGAUAGGGGUUAUUAGGAAUAUUAAAAAAAAGUUCAAAUAUUGAAAAUAUAGGUAUGUGUUAUAAAAUUCAUAAUAUAAAGACACAAAAUCAAGAUAAAUAUUUAAAAAUUUAGAACCAUAAGAGCGUGACUUGUAAGUUUCAAAAAAGUAUGUGCAAAUAUAUGCAUUAUUGAUACCCCAAUUAAGGGUGGGCAUUAAGAAAAAAAAUCCCAAAAAAUUAAAACUAACCCUAACUAAAAUAUUCGACGGCGGCCUCCUCGUUUUCUUUUCUUCUUCUUCCUCCUCUUGCUCACCCUCAAUGCCCAUUCAUGGAAAUCCAACAGCUCCAAACGCGUUUCAGCCGCUCGCACGUGUGAGAAAUUUUCCUUCUCAUAGGAUUAUUCGUUUCCUUCGCUUGCAUGCCAGCAGAAUAUUCAGGCCGAGGAUUUUUCCGGGCCUAGCCCAACUAUAAGCUCUCCCAAAACCCAAUCAUAAAGUUCAUAACGUUUAGCGUUUGCUUUUACUAUAAUUUUUUUUAACCAAUUUUCACAUUCAUCAACAUAGGCAGACAGAUUUUGUAGAAAAUAAAAUUAAAUAAAAAUACAAGAUCACGAAAAUUCCUUUUCCGAUGUGGGAAUCUAUCUACACCUUUCACGUACCUUUUUUUUUUUUUUUUGUGGUGGGGGAUUCACUUGCUUUUGUUUGCAUUGCCUUAUUGGAUAAAAGUUUGUAGAACAUCGUCUGUUUGGUUAAAGCCGAGCAUGAGUGAAGAAAAAUUAAAAAUAAACAAUUUUCCAUUAAUUUGCAACAAGUAUUAAUAAAGUGCAUGAGAAAAGACACCAGGAUAUGUCUUUUUUCAAAUGAAAAUAAAUGUGUUAAUUAGUCAAUUUAAAUGGUAUGACAUUUUGAAAUGACAGAAGUGAUCUAAAGUUUAAAUCUUACUCACAAUUACUUUAGGGUUGGGGAUUAAUUGACCUAAUAUAUAAUAACGAAUUCGAAAGACAAUUAAAAAUUAAAAGAAAAUAAAAAAGUACUUUCUUUUUUAUGAUGGUAAUUUGUUUAGAUGAUGAAAACUCUUAGAGUGGUAUUAUCAUUACAUAGUUUCGAGCGUUGCCAACGUGAAUAAUAUUUAAUUUCGUUUAUAUAGUUAUAUCUCAACUAACAUUUAAACAGAAGUAAGCUGUAAAAAAAAAAUGAACCAUUGAGAUUUGAGAGAACGAAAAACUAAAAAAAAAAGUUAAAAAAUUAGAUCUCAAUAAAUUUACUUGAGAACUACUUUACUUAUUAGUGACGAGAAAACACAAAGAAUAAUGAUGUAUCUCAAUUAAUAAGACAGUUUUUGUAUUUUUCAUUUAUUCAAGAAUCACGAAACUUCAUUGAAAUUUGUUAUUUCAUUGAUAAUAUAUUAAUAUUGAACAAUUAAUGUAGGAGACAUUCCUUUUCAAUUAUACCCAUAUAUUAAUUAAAGACUACCAAAAAGUUCAGGGAUACUAUAGUAAUUUAAGUUAACAAUUUCUGUGCUUGAAAUCAGCCGAUCAAACUCACUUUAAAAUAAACUGAGAAAUCAAAAUCACAUUCUCCGAUUCUACGAUUUCAAUUCAUCUUAUUUCUUCAACUGAAAAAUUGGUUAUAUUUCGUUUUAUUUUAUUUUUAUUUUUAUAUAAAGAUAAAUAUAAAAUAUUUUUUUGAUUACAUGAGACUAUUGCUCAAAUUACAACUCAUAUUACAUGAGAAUAUAACUGAUAUGUACAAAUCAGACUAUAAUUAGGACCAACAUACAUCAAAUCUAAUGGAGCGUUGCCCAAAUUUUAACCCUCUCAAAUAUUCGAGGGAUGUCUACUUCUCGCACUGAGACAAAAAAAUAGACUGCCUUCACUCAAUUUUAUUUAAGAAAAGAAAUACUCCCACAUACAUUGUGGGGGCUCGAACUGUUGCUCUCCAACUUGGAGAGCAGCAGCUCUCACCACUCGGCCAAAGGCCGAGUGGCUGAUUUAUAUUUUGGCCGAGUGGCUGAUAAAUAUAAAAUAUAAAUGAAGAGGAAACUGUUAAAGUAAAAUCAAAAGAAGGACACGAGUUUUAUUGAAAAUGACUCUUUUCAUCAUUUUACCGGAUUGAAUGUAUCUACAUAUAAACUAAAGAAGCACAUUUGUUUCCGACUCUACGCUUUAAAUUUAGCUUCAUUUCUUCAACUGAAGAAUCGGUCGUCUCUCAUUUUUUAUUUAUUAUAUAAAGAUAAAUAUCUAAAUUUAAAUGGCGAGAAGAGCGGACGAGGAAUACGAUUACUUGUUCAAAGUGGUAUCAAUCGGCGAUUCGGGAGUCGGCAAAUCGAACUUACUCUCCCGAUUUACUCGUAACGAGUUCUGUUUGGAGUCGAAAUCCACUAUUGGCGUCGAAUUCGCCACCCGCACUCUUCAAGUAACUAACUUUUCCUCUUUCACUUCUCUUCAUUUUUAUUAGUUAAUUAAGAUCCAGCUAAUGUAAUUAAUUUUAUUUAAUCUUUUAAAUAAAGUUCUAGAUUAGGCUAACUUAGAUUCAUGUGAAGUUGAAGUGAUUUACUUUCGAUCUCUUUUUCGUCCUAUGUUUAUUUGUACUUACUAUUACUUUUUUUUGGGUUUAAAUUUUCGUUUUUGAAGUGUUUACUGAAUAAAUUUCUGAGCUUUAUUUGUGUAUGCUGAUUGAUUUGUGAUUUUAAUUUUGUGACUUUUUUUUUGGAAUUUAAAUUUGAAUGCUUUUUAAGUUGAAUCUGAUUGUGUUGGGCUGCGAUUUAAUUAAGUCAUCUGUGAGCGCCAAGUUGUGAUAGCUAUAUAUUGGGGUGAAAAUUUGGGAUUUAAAGUUAUGUAUUUAAGAUGCAGUUAAUUCGCAAGUGAAAAUUAUGGGCCGGCAGAUUUUGUCAUUGGAAGACUGUUCUCCACAUGUUGAAGUUAGUGAUGCAAGUUGAAACCAAUCUGUUUAAGCUUGGGGUUUCAUGUCUUGAAUCAAGGCUGUGACUUGGGGUGGGUUGAAAGUAUUAUAGCUUUAGCUAUUCCUGAAGUGAUCUGUUUAGACUCACCGUGAUGAGACCGAGUGCUGUACAGUAAAAUGAAAGGAAGUUGGAAAAUAUUUACUUAGCAUUUCGCGUUACUAAUGUUGAACUAAUAAAACCUAGCCCCUAUCCUAGUGAAUUUAUGUUAAAAAGCUAUGCACGCAUUAAGUUAGUGCGAGAGUCUGCUGAAGCAUAUGCCAGCUGUGUGUUUGGAGCUGAGUAUUCUUCAUUCCACAUUUUGGGUUUUGGUUGACCUCCAGCAUGACUCAACCCACUUGAGUUAAAAGCCCUAGAGUUACAUUCUACCCAUGAUAUUUGAGUUUAUCAAGUCACCUUAUUUUAAUACUUCUCUGGAAAACAAAUAUAUAUGUUAAAUCAGGUAGGAAAAAUAAAAAGUUAAUUAUUGAGUUGUAAUGGUGCAACUAAGGUUUUGAAACAUUAAGAUCUUUAGCCAUUAUGUUACUAUCCCGUAGUUAUUUAAGUUACAAGAGAUAGUAAAAAAUAACAUCAUAUUUUAAUUACUUACACUAAUCCUACAAGUGCUGAUGGUCUAAAGUUGCUGCUGCUUGCACUGAAUCAGUGGUCAUGGGCCAGCCAAGGUUAGGUGAGGCCAACUCAUUAGCUUGUGAAACUUAAAGAAGUCUUAGGUUUGGAAAAGAUGGGGCACAGGUUACAAAAUUUUUUUUGAGUUUUGGAUUGAAGGAACAAAAUUGUUGAUGUCUAGUUCACAAUAUUUGAAGUCACUCUGUGCUUCAUCAUGUAAAAUGGAUUGAAUUGCUGUAUGAUCAGGUCAAAUUAAAAUGUUUAAACUCAUUUUUAAGAAACGAAUUCUCAAUUGGACCAGCCUUUCACAGAAGCUGAUAUCACAGAAGCUUUGAGUCAGAUGCAUCCAACCAAAGCCCCUGGCCCAGAUGGUCUCCCAGCAGUAUUUUUCCAAAAGCUUUAGAAUUCAGUAAGCGAAGGAGUUAUAGCCACUUGUCUGCAUAUCCUCAAUGAUGGAGGUAAUAUUGCUCCUUUGAAUCAUACAUACAUUGCUUUAAUCCCCAAGAUAGCAAAACCUAGGACUCUGAUGGAGUAUAGACCAAUCAGCAUAUGUAAUGUAAUUUAUAGGAUCAUUGCAAAGACUAUAGCGAAUAGGCUGAGGCUAAUCUUAGAUCAUGUUAUUUCGCCAACUCAGAGUGCUUUUAUGCCAAAUAGGCUCAUAACUGAUAAUAUAAUUAUUGGGCAUGAGUGUCUUCAUAAGUGGACAAAGCUAAGUUCCAGAGGUGAGAUAGGAAAUUCUCCCGCACGACACAGCAGAAACAAACUUUCCCUUUCAUUUUCUUUUCUCUUUCUCGCUCUCCAAACAGAGCAAAAGGACUGUCGCAAGAUUCUUCACUUCCAUCCAAAAUCAUGAGCAACGAAUGGUGAGCCUCCCUGUUUCCUUCCUUUUUUUGAUAUUAACCUUGUUAACAUAUACUCAUUUUAAUUUGACAAUACUUCAACUUUUUUUAAUUUUUUGCCUUUUCAUUUUUUUUGUUGAAGCAAUUAUCUGUUCAAGCUGUUGCUUAUCGGAGACUCGUCCGUCGGAAAGUCCUGCCUGCUGCUCCGAUUUGCUGUCUGUUGACUUUUCCUUUCCCUUCUUAUUUUCUUUUUUUAUAUUAAUUACUUUCUAUUUUAGCUUUUUGUUCUCUUAAUUUGUGUUAUUAAAAUGAUAAUUUAGAUAAUAAAUAAUUGUUAUUCUUGUAAAUUUCUGUUUUCAUUACGUUAAUUGUUAGCUUUUAGGUUUAUUAAUGUAAUUUUUUUUUUUCAAUUUUUCAGGAUGAUUCUUAUGUCACAGCUACAUCAGUACCAUUGGAGUUGAUUUUGUGAGUCUCUCUUCUAUAUAUAUGUAUAUAUGUGUAUAAGUUAUAAUAUGAGUCUAUGUACGUGUAUGUAUGUAUGUGUAUGCAUAUGUGGAAAGAAAUGUUGGCAGACUUCAGCAUUUUACUCUUUUCUUUUUUUGGCAGAAAAUAAGAACUGUGGAGCUGGAUGGGAAGACGAUCAAACUGCAGAUUGUGAGUCAAAAUUUCCUUUUAUCUUGUAUUGAGAGAAAUUCGAUUUGUCUUAUUUUCUUUGUUUGAAGAGUGAUAUGUUGAAAUGAGUGUAUUUGUCUUAUAAACAUCAUUUAGGUAAUGUCUUCUGUUUGAUUGUUUUUCAUCUGUUUAGUGGGACACUGCUGGACAGGAGCGAUUCAGGACUAUAACUAGCAGUUAUUACCAAGGAGCCCAUGGAAUCAUAGUAAGGAGCCUUCCCGGUUCUUGGUUUAAAUCAGAAAGUUUGUGAUUUACAUGUGACAUCUUAACAGCAUUGUAUGUGUUUAUUAACUUAUUUUUCAUCUUUCAUUAAGCAGUACACUUUCUAUUAAAUCUGUAUACAAGAUGAUGUAGUCCAAGAAUGGGAGCCAUAAUAUGAUGCAAAUUGUCUAAUAAAUUCUUAUGACAUAUGAUGUUGUCGGAAGUAAAAGUCUUGCAAUGCUGUAUUCUCUUUUAAGAAAGAAUAAGUGGUAAUUUUGUUUUUCCAAUUUUUUAAUUGAGCAACUGUAUGAGAUUAAUUAAAUGUGUUGGGAUUUCAACAGAUUGUUUAUGAUGUAACUGGGAUGGAGAGCUUCAAUAAUGUCAAGCAGUGGUUGAAUGAGAUUGACAGAUACGCAAAUGACAGUGUAUGCAAGCUUCUAGUUGGGAACAAAUGCGAUUUAGUUGUGAACAAGGUUGUGGACACACAGACAGCCAUGGUAUAUUCAUGACUUUUGUCGCCUGAACUUUGAAUAUAAUUUUAAACUCUUCUCAAGUGCAUUUGCUUGGUAAGUUUCUGCAUACCCAGGACACUCAAACUUUGGACAGUCUGUAUCUCGAGUUGGAAUCUUUUCUGUCAAUACGACUUGUUAAAAUAAGGGUUGUUAUCGUUUGAAUCAUUCAAGAAUUGCCAUAAAUCUAAAGUCCAUAAAAAAUAUGAUUCCAUCAUUUUACUAUUAUAUCUAGACAAAACCCAUUAUUUUACUACAUUUCAUUGGCACCGAUAGUUGACCUGUUGGCUGACUGAUAAAAUAUCAAUUUUGCACUUUAUAUUAAUUCUUUUUUGGUUAAAAAAUAACACACAAAGUAUUACAAUAUUAUAAAUUCAAAAUAUAAAGUAGUUACAAAUAAUUCCUAUUAGCCUAUGAAUAUAAUAUUUGAUACCUCUAUUUGUGUAAUUUUUUUCCAAUGGUGAAAUUGUUAUUUUUUUUGUACUAACGGAAAUAUAGUAAAAUCAUAAGUUUUGUAAAGAUAUAGUAGUAAAAUGAUAGACUAAAAUACUUCUUGUAGUUGUUUGAUAUAUUGUAAUUCUUAAAGUAGUCAAUUGAUAAUAUCCCCUAAAAUAAAUGUUCGUAAUAUGUUCUCAUUUUAAUGCAACUGAUUGUUUAAUAAAAUUGUAUUUCUUUGUUAAUCUUUUAUCAUGUGCAUGCUCAGUGAGAAUUUGACUUGCUAGAACACAAGUUUGACUCUUCAUUUAAAUGUCUCUUGUAUCAUAUCCUUCAAUGUUGAGUGUGAUUCCAAUAAAAUUGAGUAGGGAGAUCCUUAAAUACCUUUUCCUUUUUUCCAAGGGCCUGCCAAAUUGCUCUAAGUGGUUCUACCCUUUAUCAAUGAAUAAUGAAAAUAAAAUUUUUAUUAAAGCAUUCUGUUCCUUAAAUGGUGACUAAUAGUACCCCCUUUUUUUUUGGAGAGGAAAGCCAAACGCCCAAAGAGGAUCAUUUACUUUCCUCUAAUGUAUUUUCUAAUUCGUUUUGAGCCUUGAAUGUCUGUUUUGGUGCGUAUUCUCAUUCCAUGUCGAAUCUUAUCCAUAUGGACAACCCCACUUACAAAAAAGUCUAAUGAAUCUAUUGAAGUUCAUAUGAGGUUUGUGCUUUAGAUUUAGACCUCUCUCUCUCUCUCUCUCCACUUACAUGUCUUUCACUUACCUGUUUGCAUGCAUGCCCAUGCACACACUUUCAAGAUAAUACACGGUCACUCGUACUUGUGUUUUGGUUGAAUUACUGGCUGCUAACCUCUGUAAUUCAGUUUGAAACUUGCCACCCUUAGUGCUUCACUCAAAUGGUUGGUUAGGGUGAGAUCUGUAUCGUUUUCCUGGUCUCUUUCCAAGGUUAUCUAAAGGGAUUUGGCAGUCUGAUUCUUUAGGGAAUAUCAUUGCAUAAGAUAUCUAUUGUUUGUUAAUGAAUAAUUUCUAUUUAACUAGUUAUCUAUAUAAAUUGGUAAAUUUUAACUGCAUAAUUUGCAUGCAAUAAGAUUUUAUAAGAAUCUUGUUUUCAACUCAUGACUUAGACUAAUGUGAUACGUUGAGCAUUAAGCUACAAGAUCUGCACAUCAAAGUGCUUCACCAUGUUAAGGAGAAAGCAUCGUUUUCUGCUUCUUCAUGUGAUUUAAAGUUUCCAAGGUACUUAUCCAAUAAAAUGUCUUUCAAGACUUUGGAAAUGCUUUUAUGUAUGACUGAGAGAAACUUGUUGGGUUGGUUUUUAGCAACAGACGGAGUUAUGGACUUUGUGUUGACUUGUUAUUGAUUAAGACAGUACAUCGGCUGAUCUAUUGGCAUCAAGCAGCAGAUGCAGAAAUUAUGGGUGGCAUACCAUUGUAUCCAAAUAACAUACUACAUUGAUUUUUCUGACUUUCUGUUGGUCUCCGAGUGAAAUGCAGGCAUUUGCAGAUGAACUGGGGAUUCCUUUCCUGGAGACGAGUGCCAAAGAUGCAAUCAAUGUGGAGCAGGCUUUCUUGACCAUGGCCGGCGAGAUUAAGAAAAAGUAAAAUCACUUAACUCUUUCCUUCUUUCCGACUGUUCUUAUUCAACAAUCACCAUUAUUGCUGGUUAUGUGCAUUGUGAUGAAAAUUCUGCAAUGAAUAACUUUUUACCUAAUGUUUUCUGUUGGAACAAAUUACUCUGGUAGAAAAGCCCUACAGGGUUUGAGAAAUCCCAUGAUGUGAUGAUUGUGAGCAUUUUAGACACCGUGUAUGGGUUUAUUUUGUGACUAUAAAAUGUUAAGAUAUUUCUAGUUUUGGUUUGUAGUGCAUAAAAGGAUUCAAAAUUUGACAUCUGUCUAAAUCAGAUUACUAACAUGACAAUGUACAUAUGCAAGAUGUGAGGAAUUGUUUUAUCUCACCCCUAAACUUUAAGAAAUUGAAACAUUAUUAUUCAAAAUAUUUAACAUUUCCAGAAUUGAUAGUUGUCUAUUUGAGCAGUGACUGGUGGUUAUCAUGAACUGAUGUGUGGUUGUGGUUUCAAAUCUUGGUGAAACCUGUUGUCAUAUGCUGAUUAACAUAGCUAGUCUCUGAAACAAUUUGUUGAUUCACUAAUUAUGAGUUCAAAUUUGAUGCAGAAUGGGCAACCAGCCUACUGCAAACAAAUCUUCUGGAACAGUUCAGAUGAAGGGAUAGCCAAUCCAGCAAAACAGCAACCGCUGUGGUUAGCCGAGCAUCUUAUUUUACUUCUACAUGUUAGCUGACUGAUUGUAGACAGUUUUAACUAUGUUGACUGCAUUAUCUUAUGAAUCUUUUAAUCUGUCAAAUAUUUAUUUCCUGCUUUAAGUUCUUUCCCGUUUAUAACAAAUUUGAUUUCUUGCUCUAUAGCAUUCCAAAUUCCUGUUAAUUUACGAGGGAAAAAGAAAAGAGACGAAAUGGGAGAAAAUGGUCAAAUUUGUUAGGGGGGGAGAGCUGUUGAAGUAGUUUUUGUUCUCGUUUAUCAUCGUGACCCUCUUGUCGCUUAUCUACGACCUGGAAGUCCGGUCAUAUCGGAUGGGUAAAGUUACCGAAACGGCAUCAUUUUGGGUGAAAUAUCAUGUUUAUGUAACACUUUUGAUAAUAUUUUUAUGCAACAAAAAAAUGUUUGCAGUACCCUUCUCACAUUGUGAAGCGCAUGAUCGGAUGAGAGCAGUCUGGAUUCUGGCAUCACAAGCUAAUGCUUUGAUUUGCUUAGUUUGUUUUUUGUUUCUGAUAUUUUCUCGGCAUAGUGUAAAUGUAUGAAGAUGAAAUUGCUGGGUUGGUUUUGUUAUGGAAUUUGGUUUAGUUCACUAACCAUUAAUGCGCAAAACCUCCUAAGACCCUAAAAAAUCCCGUACAUAAUUAAAGAAUUUCAAUUUUAUAUGUACAUAAAUAAAUAACUCUCAAAUAUAUUAUUUGAUAAUCCCAAAAACAACAACUCACUCUAAUAAAUCUCGUAGUCAAUACAUGGUCUAUAUUGCAAGUGUUUUCGAGACUAAUUCAAAAAGAAAAUACGAAGGAUAUAUAAUUGACUUUUACUUGUUAUAAAGAACUCUAAAUAAAUUUAUAUACGCAUCACAGCUAAUUACAGUCUUGGUACUUCAUUAGGUUUUUGUUAAUUUUCUAUACAGUUGUGUUGUGCAUUAAAGCUUUGUUAAAUGAAAUCGGUAGUGAGAAUUAAUUAAUUAAUUAAUUAAUUAAGAUCCAGUUAAUGUAAUUAAUUUUAUUUGAUUUUUUUAAUUCGAGUUCUAAAUUAAUCAAUUAAUUUAGAUUCAUGUGAAAUUGAAGUGAAUUAGUUUCGAACUGUUUUUCAUUCUAUGUUUGUCUGUGUUUACUCUUACUGUUUUUUUUGUUUAAACUUUUGUUUUCUUAUUGUUUACUGAAUAAAUUUCUGAGCUUUGUUUGAGUAUGAUGAUUGAUUUGUGAUUUUAAUCUAAUGUGUUGGGCUGCGAUUUAAUUGAGUGAUGUGUGAGCGCCAAAUUGUGAGCGCCAAGUAGUAAUUAUAAAAUAUUUCAGUCGUCCACUGUUCAGUCACCAAAAACCAAUUUCUAAUCUAUUUCAAAACAAUUUUUGCCAAAGUCCUCCUGGGCUAAUUAAUUCAUACAUUAAUACAGUCCUCCUCUGCUGAAUAAUGCAAACCCGUUACGUUAUUCUACCAUUUCUUAAAUUUAAAGCAUUCCACCAUUUAAUAAAAAAAUUCGAAAACCCAUUAUAUACAAUACAAAAAGCCCACCGACACCAAACCAUAUUAAUUUAAAAUAGUUUUCAAUUGAGAUUUGAAUUUUAAAAUUACAUACACAAACACACCCGAUUUUAAAAAAUAAUAAUAAUCCUAACAAUAAAAUAUUUCAGCCGUCCUCUGUUCAGUCACCGAAAACGGAUUUCCAAUCUAUUAGAACAACCGGUAUAUGGGUUUCCAACCAAUAUUGUCCUCCAUCCUUUCUGCACUUCUCUUCUAUCAACGGACAGCCCACGAUGUAUAAUCGCAAAAGUGAGGAAGGCAGGCCCUUCUCCGGAAAGUAUUUGAGCUUGGGACAAUCCGCGAGAUACAAUUCAGUGAGGUUUUGAAGAUCAACAAUUGAAGAAGAUAGGCGUUCCAGAUUUGGAAAAUUAGAAAUCCCCAGAGAUGUUAGAGAGGCAGGAAGAGGAAGCGUGGUCC
rnacentral:lncRNA from 1 species